rnacentral:lncRNA from 1 species
CCAAAUACACUUGGAAUAACUUGAGAGAAUUCUACACUUCAUGAAAAUCGGGUAGCCCUCUCUAGAAUGAUCCUAGUGGCCGAUUUUGGUCAAGAAUAAGAUGCUUAUAUAGUUAGGGUUACACCAUGUAAACCCUAAUUGACAUGACCUUUCAUUUCCAUGAUCCAUGGGUACAAAUACACCAUGGAGCAUCCAUGGACCAUCAUAUGGGUUUUAGCCCAACUAGAUAAUCCAUGGAGCAUUAGCCCACUAUAUAAGUAUGGAUGAUUUGCAUAAUCAACCCGUAUAUUUAAUUAGUCUUCUUUUGAUCACUUAAUUAAUCCUAGAUUAAUUCUUGAUCAAUAGUAAUUAAAUAAUCUUUUUAUUCUUAUCAUUAAUAUACUAGAACGUAUAAUAUAUUAAUAACCAUAAGUGUCUUAUUUCUCUCAUUACAGUCUAUCCAAAUGCAUGAUGCCAUGCAACCCAAAUGGACCAUGCUAGGUCGGGUCAAGUCUUACCAAUUAUACUUAUGGACUUAGACAUUAAUCCAACAGUCUCCCACUUGGAUAAGUCUAAAACUAUCAUUGCGUAUGACUUUAGGAACCAACUGGCAAUCAUAGCUCUCAAAAGCUUCUGUCGAACUCUGACCUUGUCGAUGAACUCUGACCUUUGUCAAUGACUUGUCCAUUAGAUAAGGGAUCAUAUAUUCCUCCAUUCUAGAUAUCAUAUGGACUGAGACAUGGAUUAUAAUCAUUCUCUCUGUCCAUUUGUUGUUUCCCGAUUUCCGAUUUAUGACGACUGACUAAUUGAACAAAUCAAAUCAGUCCUGGCCCGGCCGAGCACUUCCAUUUGUCAUCAUCAAAUCAUCGAGGGGCCCACAGAUAUCGCUUUUAUCCCGAAGGUAAAAGGAACGGAUAAACUUCGACUCAUAUGGCUUGUUCUACUACUUGUUGAAUCAUACACAAAGGCACGUUUUAUAGCACCGAGUUACCAAAUGCGGUUUCGUGCAAUCAAUGUACUAUCAACUCAUAGUAACAACUCAUAUCUCUAGGUUACAAGAAUAUAAGAUAUUAUCGUCUCAUAAACACUCGUGAUAAACUCCAUGAAGUGAUUCCAAUGAGCGCAGGUUGAAUCCAAUACUCAGAACUUAUGAGCACUCAUGAGUGUUGUAGCCUUUUGUCCAACACCUUAGACCUCUACAAGCCAACCCAUGACAGUCUUAAUUCAUAUCUACUUCCAACAUAUGACCGACUGUGGAUGGUUUGAAUAACUUAGUCAUUCCGGAAGAAUAACCUAGUUUAUUCGGGAAGUCAAAACAUGCAAAGUGAAACACAAUAAUAAUUGAAUCCAAUAUGGUAUCAAAACCUAUGAACAUAAAUAAAACACCUUUUAUUUAUCACCAUAUGAUUACACAUUAUUCAUUGUAUACUGUUUCAGCUAUCAACUUUAUUCUUGAAUUUAAAACAAUAGUUGUCCCAUGCUCCAAGCAUGUACACUAUGUUUUCUAAACACUAGUCAUGCCACACACCAAGUAUGCAUACUAUGUUUGUCUAUGAUCUUUACUUUGUGAACUAGAUCAAUUGAACAUAACUUCAAUGAUUCUCUUUUCACACUCCCAAAUCCUUACUGCAAAUGCACGAAUUCCAAAUUCAUGCCAUUUACUGAAAUCUGUUAGAUUCUAAACUUAUAUGCAUUGAACUUGUUGUAAUGAUUUAUGCACAAAGUCACAAGGACUCGACAACAAACAUUACAAAGUUUUCCAAAGGAGAUGAACUCCUUGGAAACAUCCUUCUUGCAUUAAGUUACCUUAAUCUUAAACAGAUUGAAAAAUCCUAACUUUGAAACAUUUCUAGAUUCCAUUUUGACUAUCACUUCUGAACAAGAGUUGCCUCCUUACAGAUUAUGUCAAUAUGGUCCUUCCAGAAUUAUCACUAUACUUCCAACUGUCCUUGAGCAACCAAUCUUUGGUAAACCUUAGAUUGUCCUCGACAAUUGUUUAAUCCUUUUAGUCAUAUCCAGUUCUAAACCUUUUCCCUUCUUAAUGCCCCAGGCAUUUGGAAAAUUUUAGAACGGAUGAAUAUAGCACAUGUAAUCGAUCCUAUAUCUGAAGCAUAUGGGACACGAUUCAUGAUGUCUCACAUAAAGACUAAACCAGUCUUCUGCUAUAACAUUUCCAUUUAUAUUUGGCAAGUUCUCAUAAUUCAGAUUAUGAAAAGGGAUGUCGUAAUCAUAAUUGAAUUUUAGAACGCAAAUAAUGGACCCAUAUACAGAAUUUCCUUAUGUUGAGCCAUUCCAACAUGAAAUUCAUAUAUAUCCUUGACUAAAUGAUUAAAACCUCACGAUCUAAGCUUAUAGAUUUGAGAUGAAGCAUAAUUUCCUCUCCCUUAAUUAUAGCAAAACAACUUUUUCCCAAUUGAAACUUUUGUUUUCUAUAAUUAACAUUGCUAACUUGCAAUACUUAUCAUAAUUAUCAUGCUCCCACUAACAUGAUGAUUAUUAGCAUAACACUUAUGCUCCCACUAGCUUUGACAUGUACUCAGAAAUCAGCUGGACAGUCUGAAAUUUAGAUUCAUACACCCUUUCCGUAGAUAGCUCACCUGUGUGUCUAAGCAAUUUCAAGAACCAUGAAAAGGGAUACCGUAAUCAUGGUCUCAAUUGCUUAGGCAUUUGCCAUUUCUCACAAGUCCAUGUUAGUGUGCCGGUUAACCACACGCGCUCCACUAACGACUUUUGAAAAUGCAAAUAACACAAUUGAUAUCUUCGUAAAAUCUACUUAGUGAAAGCGUUUCCUCACCAUCAUUUUCAUGAAUCGGAGAGAAACCUUAUGACACUUAGAUUUAUAUGGUGUAUGAGUUCCUACCCAUAUGAAUUUGUCAAACCAUAAUCACAAGACAAAGAUAAUGACAAAUCCAAAACCAUAUGGAUUGAACUCAAUCUUAACUUCUUGCCACCUGGCAGCUCAAGGGCCUGCCAUUGCUUCCAAGUUGUUGUGCAACAAAUUGAGAACUCUAAGAACUCAUAUGCAAAACCAACUUUAACUGGAAUGGGCACAGAAUAUGUCAACACGAUAGGUUAUGAACCUCAAGUCGUGUGCUAGUGAAGAACUUUAGGUUUUAUUCUUGAUUAUUUCUUGAGACUUUCAAGACCUUUAAGACUCCCACUGUCCUCUUGACAUAUAAGACUCCCUUGUCAAACAUCCAAGAGAUAGUGCGGAUUCUAAUCAAGAAAAACACUUUACCCAAUUGGCCUAAGUUGGUCUUUGUUUUAUCCAAAACAUCACAACUUACCAAUUUCAAAUGUACAAGAGUAGAAAACUUUUACUCUUACAUUUGACAAGUGUUUUAAACCUUCUUUAAGACAUGUCACUCAAAUGACAAUCUUGGAGUAUGACUCUAAGACUUGUAUUGGAACGAAGUAUGACUCAUCUUCUUGAUUUAACCAUUUCAACAAUUCAAGUUCCUCUUCUUAGUCAUAAGAAUGCACUAAGAUUUCCUUAGAGAACUAAUUUUGAUAUGGUUUCUUAAUCAUUAAGAUGAUCACAAAACUGAUACUAAAGUACUCUCCCAUCUUUUCAGAUUUGAGAAACUUUUAUCCUUCUGCCUUAUUUGAUUCUUCUUAUCGAUCUUUAGUGGUGGACUUAAUCAGUGCACAAGAAUGUGUACUCGAUCCCUAAGUCCUUUACUUGACUCACACAUCCAUGUGAACAAGUAAUUAGUCUUAAUUUUCCAAAACUUGAAAGUUCUCAUUCAUCAUGCUAUACAACUUGCAUGAUUCCAAGUUCCGGUCCAAUUGAAACUUGGGUGAUGAGAAUCUUUCCUUAUUUGGUAAAUUUAGACAUUACCACAAAUGAAAGAAUCAAUUUCAUACUUCCACUCUUGCUACUAAUGGAAUCUUAUAAGCAACAAAAAUUUCCACAGAUGCCAUUGUAAGGAUAUUUUAAAAUAAAUAAAAUCAAAAAUUUCCUUUUAUUUUAAAACUUUGCGGAAAAACUAUCCUUACAAUCCAUAUGAAAACUUGUUGUUAUCUAUUCCUAAGCAAUAUCUCAUAACUCCUAAGAAGUAGCUCAAGAAUCCGAUUUUUCAAACUAUGCGAUAGAAAUCCAUCUAUGCGAUCAGAUUCAGCAUAUUCUUCCUUUAAGUUUCUUCACUUUCCUUUGAUUCUUAAACCAUCACCAUGCGACCCGGUCACAUCAUGUAUCAAGAAUCUCAGAAUAGAAACUUAACAGAGUUAGAUAGUGGAUUUUACCUGAAGUAGAGUCAAACUUAUUGACUUUAACAUCCUUAGGUAAAUUUGGCAGCUUCGCAACCAAUGCCCUUUCUUUGGCAAUACAAACAUAUGGACCCUUUGAUAAUGGUACACAGGACUAUCACAGACUUAGCUUUUCUCUUUACCAUUUGGUCAACCGAGUUGACUAUAGCCGAUCCCUUUCCAUUGGGAAGAGAAUGCUUUACUGGAUAUCCAAUGUCAUCAUUGUCAAUGUCCAUAAAGUUUUAGGAAGUUGAUCUUAACAAAUAGAUAAGAUCAUUAAGGGUCUUGUCAUAGUCUUUUUCAUAGGUGUUCCAAAAGAACUCACUAUGUGACUUAGAAAGUAGUUGAACCACCAACUUUCUCAAGACUUUGACACCCAACUCUCCCGGCUUGUCAAUAUGUGACUACAUCUCCAAGAUGUGACCACACCUAGACCUUGCCUUGCUAAUAGGGCCUGAGUGACCUUAAACUUUUCAAGAACUUGUGGGUUAGGGAGAAUAAUUUGAAGAGGUGAAGAAGUAUGAUAUCCAUGGGACAUCAUCUUCAUUAGGAAACCUUGUUUCAAGAGAUUUGGGAAGAUCAUAGGUGUCUAAACCAGACAUCUUUUGGGAGAUAUUCAAGAUAGUUGAUUUAAAGUCCUUAAUAUGACACCCAAUAUGAAAUAUUAAGGCUAGGACCCAACAAACUAUUUUAUAACUUAGAAGAGGUAUGCCGUAAUCCAAGCUAUAAAAUAUUUGAAGGUAGGUGAAUGACGAUUCACCAAUUUCCACCAAGAUAAACGAAAUGUAUUAUUAGGUUUUAAUUGGUUUUGAAACUCCUAGAUCUUUGAGAUUCAUUGAACUUUUCAAAGGCAUGUUUCAAUCUCGAGUGUGCCCUUCAGGUUUUGUGACUGGGAUGCCGAGGAUCACAAAACAAGGUGUGAAGUAACCAUGCAAAUCACUUGGUACCCUUAAUAAAUUACCCCUCAAUCGAUGUGCCGGUUAACCACACACGCUCCAUCGAUACUAUGAUAAAUAUUAAGUCACCCUUUACCUACCUUGUUAAGUCCAAGUUAGUGUGCCGGUUAACCACACACGCUCCACUAACGACUUAGACAAAGUGUAAAGUGUAAUUUCAUGGGUUAGCACCUUAUUCACAUUUUUCCUAAGUAACUAAGAUUGGGUAUUAUUAAGAGUUUAGUUACUUAGUAUUAUCAUUAAUACUUUUAAUGAAGGGAGAAUUCUAGUCCUGUCAAACCCGUUCGGCUAACGACCCUCCACCAGUCAAGCAAGCGGUGGGUGAGAGUGGACACCCAUUAAGUUGCCAUUUUAUAGGCAACAACCUUAUACCCACCUUAUAGACCGGCUUCGUGAAUGAGGCGUACUAGCGGUAAGACUGACUUUACUCUUAUACAUAUAUAUAUUAUUAACUUAUAAUAUUAUAAAGUAUAAGGGUUGAAUUUUAACUUUUAAAAUUCUAAGGGCUAACUUGGAAUUAAAGUAUUCAUAAGUGAAAACUUUUCAAAUUCCAAAACUUGAGGGCAAGUUUUGAAACUAUUCAAAACUAAUUAAUUCCAUAACUUAUGUGUUUAAAGUAGUUUUAAUCCAAAAACUCUUCAAGUUCCAUAACUUGAGGACAAGUUAUGGAAGACUUUAAACUAAUAAAAGAAUUAACUUUUCUUUAUUUUAUAACUUAUGGAAUUAAUUAAGGUUACACUUUAUUUAUUUAUUUAUUAAUGAAGUGACUCUUGAACCUCCAUAACUUAAGGACAAGACUCUUCAUCUUUUGUAACCAUUGCCAACUUUUAUGAGUUUUAUGAAACUUAAAUGUGACUUUUCAUAUAACUUGAGGACAAGUUACAAAAACACAUUUUAGAAUCAACUCUUAGAUUAAUUUGGAUUGAAAACAACUAUUUCAAUCAACUUUUCUAUUAAUCUAAGCAACUCAUAAGAACAAGAUAAUUCAAAUCAAACUUUUUCAUGUAAUUAGUCUAAACCUUAAACUAAUACAAAACAUGAAUCUAUUGACAAUUAUCUUUGAAAUUGGAUUAGCAUGAACAUUACCACAUCAAAAACAAGUUUAUAAGUUCAAAAACAACUUAGGGUAAUGUUCCUAGUCCAUUUCUAGCCAAAAACCUCGAAAAUAUGCUGUCUGGGGUCCAACUCGUCGAGUGCAUGAACAUAACUCGGCGAGUUGGAUGAAUUUUGCCUUGGACUCGUCGAGUCCCUUCAUGGACUCGGCGAGUCUGCUGGGCUGACAGCAUCAAAACUCGAUUUUUCAGCUACAUUUGCAAGUAUAACAAGAAAACAAGCCUAGGCUCUGAUACCACUGUUGGGUUUUGAGCAUUCUAACACUCCUAAGUGUACAUGCAACCCUAAAUACCUUGGAUCUAUGUUUUCUCUAUUAUACAUGCAAAUAUGAACAUCCAAGGUAUUAUCCUAAUCUAGUAUAUAAAAUAAUGACUAUAACAAGUUAGAAUACAUACCUCUUUCAUGUAGAAAGUCUUCAGGAAUCUUGAGUGCCAAGUGCCCCAAGUGUGACACAUCAAAUGGUUCACACAACACCAAAUGCACAUAGAAUGACUUGAGAGAAAUGGAACACUCCUUGAAAUCAUCUAGCCCUCAUAUUCACACACUAGUGCCUGAUUUCUUGAGCCAUGGGAUUCUUUUAUAUGGUGGNGUCAAGAAUAAGAUGCUUAUAUAGUUAGGGUUACACCAUGUAAACCCUAAUUGACAUUGCCUUUCAUUUCCAUGAUCCAUGGGUACAAAUACACCAUGGAGCAUCCAUGGAGCAUCAUAUGGGUUUUAGCCCAACUAGAUAAUCCAUGGAGCAUUAGCCGACUAUAUAAGUAUGGAUGAUUUGCAAAAUCAACCCAUAUAUUUAAUUAGUCUUCUUUUGAUCACUUAAUUAAUCCUAGAUUAAUUCUUGAUCAAUACUAAUUAAAUAAUCUUAUUAUUCUUAUCAUUAAUAUACUAGAACUUAUAAUAUAUUAAUAACCAUAAGUGCCUUAUUUCUCUCAUUAUAGUCUAUCCAAAUGCAUGAUGCCAUGCAACCCAAAUGGACCAUGCCAGGUCGGGUCAAGUCUUACCAAUUAUAGUUAUGGACUUAGACAUUAAUCCAACAGUAAUAUUAUGGAAAAUCCCGUUUUAUGAUUGGCGUGAAUCCUUUGUAAACUAUAAAAUAUAACAUAAAAUAUAACAUUUUAUGAUGAGCUUCACAAGUUUCCUUGUUUUAGUUUUGAAAACUAACUCUACAAGUUAAUUUCUUAAUCGGUUGAUAAAUUGGUUUUCUGUGUUAAAAGCAUGCUAAACAUGUAAGUAUACGAAAUAAUAGGUUUUAAGUACAAGUUCCCUUGUACUUUUUUCUUGUAUUCUCCCCCUGAAAACAUGAAAAUCUCGGAAAAGGUGUAGGGGUAUGAACUCACCUGCAGUGAAUGGAUGGAAGUGUCGGGUAAGAAUGUUAGGUGUUAAGUGAGGACUUGAACACACGUGCAGAUCCGAUGUAACAUGAUGUGAUACAUAAUUGUAUCUAAUCAGUUAUUUAAUCAAUAAUUAAGUAAGUAUAUACACUCUAAUGCAUGAAAACACUUUAUUUCAAUUGUUAAGGGUGAUACGGGUUGCAUCUAAGGAGUGUAUGACCUCAUUAUGGAGUUUAUGCUUCAAGUGGGGCCCUUAGGGGUGUUUACGUUUGAAGGACCAUAUCCCCUAUGAGUUUACGGCCUUAAAGUCAUGGGAAUGGUGUAUUUGUGUGUUGCAAGGUCUCAUGCAUCACAAGGAAGGGUCCUAGGGCUGAAUCAACGACUAUGGAAGUGAUCGGGGCUUGAAAUGGACCUUAUUAGGAGUUUAUGGUUUUUGAAGGCUUCAUUGGUGAGUUUACAGUCGUAAACACAUGAUUUUAUGGCCGUAAACUCAUGUUUGUGAAUUUCUUACUUGUUUUGGUGCUUCAAGGGUAAGGAUACAAUGUUCUAGCCACUCAUUCAAGUCAUGGAAGGUGUUAAGGUCAUUUUAACACCCUUAAAAGGUGUUUACGGUUUUGGGACAUUCCCCAACCGUAAACUCAUGUUUACUCUCUUCUUUUCAUGUUUCGGGGUUCUAAGAUCAUUCAUGCAAGUUUUUAGGUCAUUAGCCAAGCAUUAGCCAAGCAUUGGAAGGGUUUUGGGGCAUCAAAACCCCAUUUUAGGGUGUUUACGGUUUUGGGAUGUUCCCAAACUGUAAACUCAUGUUCUUGGGGUUUUUGAGGGUUUAAACCACGAAUUUGCAAGUAUGCUAAGCUAAACAACAAGAUAGGAAGGUUUACUUAAUGUUAUGAAGCUUGAAAGGGUGUUUUCUUGAUCAAAAUCCAACUUUUGUAGAGAGAGAGUAGAGAGACAAAGUUCUGAUGGUGUGAAAGAGGUGAAGGCUACUCAACCCUUAUAUAGGGUUGAGUUUACAGCCUGGGUGGGGGGUCCACCAAACACUAACCGCAAACGGGGUAUUUCGCAUGAUUUUUCGUUUUUCGUCACAUAUGAAAUUACGAAAAAUAACUCCAAUUGAUUUAGUUAGCUUAAGAAAUUUACAGAAAACUUUUCAUAAAAAUAAUUAAUCGAAGUGGGUUACAUUGACGUAAUAAAUUCCGGGUUGUCACAUCAUCCCUCCGUUAGAGGAAAUUUCGUCCCGAAAUUUGGAAAUAAGAUACAACUCAUGUAUUUGGAAUGAGAUGCGGAUACUUCCGCUUCAUCUGAUCUUCGCACUCCCAAGUGAAUUCGGGUCCUUGCUUGGCAUUCCAGCGAACCUUCAGUAUCAGGAUGCAACUUUGUUUCAUUUGUUUGAUCUCCUUAUCCAUGAUUUCGAUUGGUUCUUACACGAAGUUCAGAUUUUCGUUGAUUUCGAUCUCAUCAAGAGGGAUCACAAGGGUUUCUUUGGAUAGACACUUCUUAAGAUUAUAGACGUGGAAGACAGGGUGGAUGUUGCGAAGCUCUUGAGGUAAUCGGAGUUUAUAGGCUACAGGACCAAUCCUAGCAAGGAUCUUGAAAGGUCCUAUGUACCUUAGGUUCAAUUUCCCGCGCUUUCCAAAGCGUAUGAUGCCUUUCCAGGGUGAGACCUUCAAAAGGACACGAUCUCCAACCUGGAAUUCCAAAGGUUUUCAUCGUUUAUCAGCGUAGCUCUUUUGUCUGUCCCUAGAGGCUUUCAAUCGAUCUCGGAUUUUGAUGAUCUUUUCGGUGCUUUCACGGAUGAUUUCAGGACCAGUGAGAGUACUAUCAGGGACUCGACCCUUGGCUAGCUGCAUGUCCCCUACCUCGACCCAACAUAGAGGGGAUCUGCACUUGCGACCGUAGAGGGCUUCGAACGGGGCAACCUUCGUACUGAUAUGGUAGCCGUUGUUAUUAGAGAACUCAAUCAAGGGUAAAUGAGUGUCCCACGACUUUCCGAAAUCGAUGACACAUGCUCUCAGCAUGUCUUCCAUGGUCUGGAUGGUUCUCUUACUCUACCCAUCUGUCUGAGGAUGAUAAGUUGUACUCAUAUCCAACUUAGUUCCAAGAGCUUUCUAAAGGGACUGCUAAAAUCUCGAGGUAAACCUGCUAUCUCGAUCAGAGAUAAUGGAUACAGGUACACCGUGCAGUCGGACCACUUCUUGAAUGUAGAUUCGUGUCAGCUUUUCCAUUUUGAACGUUUCUUUGAUUGGUAGGAAGUGAGCGGAUGUUGUCAAUUGAUCGAUAAUUACCCAAAUGGUAUCGUACCCACUCGGAGAUUUAGGUAAUUUGGUAUGAAAUCCAUAGAAAUCAUCUCCCACUUCAACUCAGGAAUCUCGAGCUGCUGGAGCUGACCUAAGGGUUUCUGAUAUUCGACCUUCACUUUGGCGCAAGUCAGACACUUUCCCACGAAGGUAGCAAUUUCGGCUUUCAGGUUUGGCCACCAGUAUAGUUUCUUGAGAUCCAGGUACAUCUUAUCUGAACAUGGGUGCACGGAGUAUCCAGUCUUGUGAGCUUCGUUCAUGACAACCUCCCUGAAAGCUCCGAAUUUUGGGGUCCAGAUCCGGUCCAUGAAACAGUAAACUCUGUCUCCUCUAAUCUCAAGAUUCUUAUUCAUUCCCCUCAAGGCUUCAUUCGACAUGUUCUCUGGUUUUAGGGCUUCUAACUGAGCCUCUCGGAUUUGUGCGGAUAAGUGGGAAUGGAUGGUCAUUGUCAAUGUCUUCUCCUUUUUGCCUGAGCUUUCCUUUCUGUUAAAGGAAUCUGUCACUACAUUGGCCUUGCCGAGAUGGUAGCGGCUUAAGUCCUUCUGAUCGAUGAUGUGUUAUAGGAUUUUAUGGUCAGUGAAGAUCGUGCACUUUGGUCCCGUAAAGGUAAUGUCCCCAAAUUUUCAGUGCGAAGACCACUGCUCCUAACUCCAGGUCGUGAGUUGUAUAGUUGACUUCAUGUGCUUUCAGUUGUCUUGAGGCAUAAGCAAUAACUUUUCCUCGCUGCAUGAGCACACAGCCUAAGCCCUGAUGGGACGCAUCGCAGUAAACAAUGAAGUCCUCCAUCCCUUCAGGUAGAGGCAGGACAGGUGCGCUGCACAAGGCUCACUUCAAUGUUUGGAAUGCAACAUCUUGUUUUUCACUCCAACAAAAGGGUACACCCUUCUGUGUCAAAGUAGUUAAAGGUUUCGCAAUUUAGGAGAAAUUCUGGAUGAAUCUGCGAUAGUAGCCAGUGAGACCCAAUAAUUGCUGGAUUUCUGUGGGCGUCUUUGCUGCCGACCAAUUCUCUAUCGCCUUGAUUUUGGAAGGGUUCAUAUGUAUGCCCUCCUCGCUUACCGCGUGACCUAGGAAAGUUACCUUCCGAAUCCAGAAUUCACACUUGGAGAAUUUUGCGUACAACUUCUCUAAUCUAAGUGUUUCCAACACUAAUCUCAAGUGUUGUUUGUGAUCUUCCUCGCUUUUGGAAUAGACAAGUAUAUCGUCAAUGAACUUAAUAAGGAACUUGUCCAGAAAAGGACGACACACCUGGUUCAUAUGGUCCAUAAACACUACCGGUGUGUUGGUUAGACCAAAGGGCAUCACUACAAACUCGUAGUGUCCAUAUCGAGUCCUGAAUGCUGUCAUGGAAACAUCACUCUCAUGAACAAGUAGCUGAUGGUACCCUGAUCUAGGGUCUAUUUUCAAGAAGUAACUGGCUCCCUGAAGUUGAUCAAAAAGGUCAUCUAUUCAAGGAAGAGGAUAACAAUUUUUAAUGGUCAGGUUGUUCAGUUCACGGUAGUCUAUACACAUCUGAAAGGAUCCAUCCUUCUUUUUCACGAAUAACACAGGGGCUCCCCAAGGUGAAGAGCUCGGUCUGGUGAACCCUUUGCUGAGUAGCUCAUUAAGCUGACGGGAUAACUCCUACACUUCUAUUGGCGCUAAGCGAUAUGGAGAAAUGGCUACGGGGGUAGCUCCGGGAAUUAGGUCGAUGCGAAACUCGACAUGGCGUUCGGGAGGAAUUCUCGGGAGCUCUUCGGUAAAGACAUCAGGAAAGUUGCAUACUUCGGGGAUGCUCUCGAGGUCUUUAACUUCCUGCUUCUCAUUAAUUACAUGAUCAAGGAAUGCAUGGCACUCCUUUCGCAGAAGCUUUUGAGCUUUGAUGCAUGAAAUAAUGCAAAGAUUGGAACUAAGUUUAUCGCCGUGGAUCAUGAGGGUCUGGGAAGAGGGAAGAUUGAGACGGAUAGCUUUUCCGUAACAAAGGAUAUCAGCAUGAUUGGGACUCAACCAAUCCAUGCCAAUGCUAACAUCAAAGCUCUUUAUGGAAACUGGCAUAAGGUCGAUGGGAAAGGAAUGAUGGUUCAGGGUAAGGGUGCAGCCUAUGAAUAUAUCAUUAGCGUUCUCUUUCUUGUCGUUAUCUAUCUCGACAGUAAACGUUUCGGUUAAUGGUUGAGGACUAUGUUUAAGCAGAUGUUUGAAUGAAUGGCUAACAAAACUUCUUUCAGCACCAGAAUCGAAAAGGAUGCAUUCAUAAGAGUUGUCAAGAGGGAACGUACCUGUGACAACGGUGGCAUCGGCGACUGCCUCCUCUUGCCCCAUCGUUAGAACUCUCCCGGUGUUGCUGGUCGUUGUUGCUUUUGGGCAGUUUCUCUUAUAGUGUCCUACUUCUCCACAAUUAUCACAGGCUUGACCCACGCCUGCUCCAAAUGUUUGAUUGCUUGGUUAAGCUGGUGUCUUGCAAAAUCGAAUCGUAUGCCCCUUUUUACCACAGUUAGAGGACGACAGUUCACGACAUGGGCCAGGAUUAUGGUGGUAGUUACACUUGUCGCACCGAGGAAGAGUACCAACGUAUCUACUGGUAGGUGCUUGAGUGGCAGGAGUAGCGGCAGGGGUAGUAGCAGCGUAGACUGCCACUGUUUGAUGUUUCUUUGAGGGCUCCUAUAAAGACUGAACCUUCUUCUGUUUCAAGAAUUUUAUUUUCUCACCACUCCCUUUAGUCGGUUCAGGAGUGGUGGUCACUUCAUCGAGAUCGACUCCAUGAUCGAUGAGAUUUUGCGCCAGGAACUUAGCGCUGUCGAAGGUGUUAGGCCUAGCAGCCAAUACAUUUCAUUUGGUUGGCUGGGUCAGUCCCCAAAUGAAUCUUUCAAUCUUUUUACUUUUCGGGGUGACCAUUCCUGGACACAGGAGUGCUAGGUCUUCAAACCUAGAAGUGUAGGCAGCGGUAUCAGAACACUUCAUCUUUAGGUUCUAGAGUUCGUGCUCAAGUUUCUGCAUUUCGCCCCACGGGCAGUAUUCAGCAAGCAUGAGCUCCUUCAAGCUCUCCCAACCCAUAGCAUUCGCUACUGGCAGGGUUAAGGAUUUGACUCGGCCAUUCAACCAAGUCAAUGCUUUAUCAGUGAAAGUGCAGGCGGCGAAUUUCACCUUGUUGGCUUCCGAACAAGAACAUAUUUCGAAGAUAGACUCGAUUUUCUCGAACCAUCGAGUCUGGCUAAUAACACCUCCAGUGCCAUUGAAAGAUGCGGGUUUUGCAUUCAUGAAUUCUUUAUAGGAACACUCCUUCUGGUGUCCCUGACCACCUUCCUAGUUUUGGGGAUGAGUACCACCUCUUGGCCUGCCAAAGCCGUUAGGGUUCAUCUGUGACAUUAUAGCAGCCACAGCAGCAAUAACGGCUGCUUGGAACAUGGCGGGAUCAAAUGGAGGAGGUGGCGGAGGAGGAUUGUUUUUCUUUGAGCUGGGUAUUUUCUUUGGAGGCAUAUCGAUCUAAAAAGAUCAGGAAAGUGAGGGUGGUAAGUCCUCUAGGUAGAAUCAAGAGAUAUGAAACAAGAGAUAUCUUAUUAUGGCAGAUAGAGUGUUCUACUAAGCGAUAGAACAGCAAAAGUUACUAAAGCAAGUAAACUAUCGCUAAGGAAAGAAUGAGUAGCAACACAUGCAAUGAAUUUCUACAACAUAUUCGGAUCUGACUAAAAUCCUCCUAUAGUAUUUUAUGCUUUAUUGUGACGAUGACUUGUUAUUUGGAUAUUUGGUACGUUUUAAUCCUGUUGUGCACCACAGUCACUCCCAAGCACAUGUUGGUCGUGUCUCGAACGAAUAUAGUUGACCAGGCUAUAUUGACCGUAGACACGACUACAUAACUGCCCAGGUUAAACCGCAGUGCCCAACACCCAAUUACUUUUUGUAAAAAUACUUGUAUUUUAAAGUAUACUUUUAGUUCAGAGCGAUUCGACUCUUAGUGUUUAUAGUUGUAUACCAUGUAAGGUUCGGUAUACUUAGUUCACUAUAAAUAAAAGCUCUGAUACCAAUCUGUCACACCCCCGAACUGUCAGGAAAACAACGGUGGAAACGUCCGGGGGUGGAGACAUCAUGCGUAGUAUCACAACCAUUGUACAUAGUAAGCAUAGUAAACACAACCAUUACAUUACAUAAGAAUAAUUACAUUUGUUUGAAACUAGAUAAAUACAUAGUUUGUAUAUAUCAGUAUAAACAAAAGUAAAGACGAGACUUCUAUAUGCACCGUCUUCUCCAAAACUAAGCGAGAUACUUGUCUAACGUGAACCUAAGAAUACAAGCAGUUUUAGAAAUAUUAGCAUAAAGCUACUGAGUUCAUAAGUACUUGAUUUUUGGUAAAAGAAAAUGUUCCUUUUAUUUCAUGAAAGGUUGUUACCCAAGAAAAUCCCAUAUUUUCUUAUAAAAGAAGUUUGGUUAUCCAUUUGUUAAACAACCUGUUUAUGAAAAGUUAAGUUAUCCCAGGAAAACCCCAUAUUUUCCUUAAAAGUCAAUGGUUGGUUAUCGAUCCGGAAAUGAGGUGUACAAGUAUCUACUAUACUUGUAUCGUUAGGUGCAGUUUACUUGAAAGCUCGGUUACCCUCGAUGAAAUACAUUAGUUUUAAUACACACAUAAAACUAAUAAGUAGGUAGUAAACUAAUUCCUAACGGUAUUGCUGAUACCCUCUAGUAAUCAAAACAAUUAUUACUUUGAGCUUAGUUCACUAGCUUCAUUAUUACUAGAUGGAAAUCUCCAUUAUCUAAGUUUGCAAGUUCCAUAACCAUAUAAUAAACUAGAUAUGGCGCGUAACGGGGCCAGUAUCAUUUUAUGACUUUGUCACCCGUAGACCUAUCGGUCCCACUGUAGCUAGCAGCAUGGUGCGGGGUAGUCAGCCCCAUAUAGAUCUAUACACACAAGUCAUGUUCUCCCUCCAGGAGACUCUGGUUACAGGGUCGGUCCUCCACUCGCGUCUCUCUGUGGAGUGUUACCAAGGACAUGUCUCCAAUAUUAAGAAUAACGAAUUUACAAGUAAUAGUAUGGAAAAUCCCGUUUUAUGAUUGGAGUGAAUCCUUUAUAAACUAUAAAAUAUAACAUUUUAUGAUGAGAUUCACAAGUUUCCUUGUUUUAGUUUUGAAAACUAACUCUACAAGUUAAUUUCUUAAUCGGUUGACAAAUCGGUUUUCUGUGUUAAAAGCAUGCUAAACAUGUAAGUAUUUCCUACGAAAUAAUAGGUUUUGAGUACAAGUUCCCUUGUACUUUUACUUAUAUUCUCCCCCUGAAAACAUGAAAAACUCGGAAAAGGUGUAGGGGUAUGAACUCACCUGCAGUGAAUGGAUGGAUGUGCUGUGUAGGAAUGUUAGGUUUUAAGUGAGGACUUGAACACACGUGAGGAUCCUAUGUAACAUGAAUUGAUACAUAAUUGUAUCUAAUUAGUUAUCUAAUCACUAAUUAAGUAUGUAAAUACACUCUAAUGCGUGAAAACACUUUAUUUCAAUUGUUAGGGAUGAUACGAGUUGCAUCUAAGGAGUGUAUGACCUCAUUAUGGAGUUUACUCUUCAAGUGGGGGUCCUUAGGGGUGUUUACGGUUGAAGGACCAUAUCCCCCACGAGUUUAUGGCCGUAAACUCAUGGAAAUGGUGUAUUUUUGUGUUCCUAGGUCUCAUGCAUCACAAGGAAGGGUCCUAGGGUUGAAUCAAAGGCUAUGGAAGUGAUUCGGCCUUGAAAUGGACCUUAUUAGGAGUUUACGGUUUUUGAAGGCUUCAUUGGUGAGUUUACGGUCGUAAACACAUGAUUUUACAGCCAUAAACUCAUGUUUGUCACUUUCUUGCAUGUUUUGGUACUUCUAGGAUAAGCAUACAAGGUUCUAGCCACUCAUUCAACUCAUGGAAGGUGUUAAGGUCAUUUCAACACCCUUAAAAGGUGUUUAUGGUUUUGGGACAUUCCCUAACUGUAAACUCAUGUUUACUCUCUUCUUUUCAUGUUUUGGGGGUUCUAAGAUCAUUCAUGCAAAUUUAUAGGUCAUUAGCCAAGCAUUAGACAAGCAUUAGAAGGGUUUUAGGGCAUCAAAACCCCCUUUUAUGGUGUUUAUGGUUUUGGGAUGUUCCCACACCAUAAAGUCAUGCUCUUUGGGUUUUUGAGGGUUUAAACCACGAAUUUGCAAGUAUGCUAAGCUAAACAACAAGCUAGGAAGGUUUACUUACUGUUAUGAACCUUGAAAGGGUGUUUUCUUGAUCAAAAUCCAACUUUUGUAGAGAGAGUAGAUGUGACAACCCGAUAUUUCGAGACAAUGUAAUGUAAAACCAAUAAAAUUUAGGUCAAAAUAUAACUUUCCUAAAAUCUUAUUUGGGUUAAAUAAAGUAGUAGGAAUCGUAUCAAGGUUUUCGUACAUAUAAAGAACCCUAAAAUCCGAGUUAUAACGAAGAAGUUAUGACCAACCGAAGAUUCUCGGCAAAAUCGGCAACACCGAUUAAACGAAAAACGCGAAGUUUCAAUACAAUAGUUUAUAGCCUUAAGUAUCUAAAUGAAAGUUAUAGAUAACCUCAAACGGUGAGCGUACAUAAAAAGAACGUCCAAAUCUGACUUCGUAUGAGGAAGUUAUGAUUUUUCCAAGAUUCGGGUAUAGCAGUAGACAGCUAAAAAACUCGAAAUAGAGCUCGAGAUACUUUUGACCAAAACAACCUAAAUGAGAAUCUAAGGUCUCAACAUUAGUAGCGCAAUGGCGAAAAGUCUGACGAAAACAGACAUCGGAUGAAGAAGUUAUGAAAUUUUAACGGACUUUUCGUGUCCCGGACCGUUAAAAAUAUAAUUAAAAAUAAAUUCAAAAUUUGCCAAGGAAGUCUAAACGAGAUUUGUAGAUCAUAUUUUUAGCUACGCGUGCAUAUAAAGAACGUCGAAAACGGAGCUCGUAUGCGAAAGUUAUGGAUUUUACAAUUUCGGGGUCCAAAAUCCGAUGCUGUCAGGCCCCACGACGUGGCACAAGCUUGCCGCGACCCGGCAAGUGACUGAGGGCGUCCAAUCAAUGGAAGAGGAUAGGUUUGACUCCCCACGACGUGGCCAUCACUUGCCACGACGUNUCCACGUCGUGGCACACCCCAAAAAUGCCCUAUAAGUAGAUUUCAAGGGCUCCGAGUUCCAUUGUUCAGUUCCUUUCUUUCUCGCGCUGAAACUCUGCGUUUAAGCCCCCGAUACCCUCCCAAAGCCCCAGUUUUCGCCUUCAAGUCCUGAAGGAAGGUUUUGUGUUCUCGAGAUUCCCGAGAUUCCCGAGAAUCCCGAUAUUUUCCCGCGUUUCCAACUCUUCCUGUCGAAGUUCUGCUCGAUUCUCUUCUCGACUACUUCAAAUCAACCACUUCAAUCAAGUGAGUUCAUACCCCUACAACCACACUUUAAAUGCUUUUUAAAUGCUUUUGAAACACUUUUAAGGGGGGGANNNNNNNNNNNNNNNNNNNNNNNNNNNNNNNNNNNNNNNNNNNNNNNNNNNNNNNNNNNNNNNNNNNNNNNNNNNNNNNNNNNNNNNNNNNNNNNNNNNNNNNNNNNNNNNNNNNNNNNNNNNNNNNNNNNNNNNNNNNNNNNNNNNNNNNNNNNNNNNNNNNNNNNNNNNNNNNNNNNNNNNNNNNNNNNNNNNNNNNNNNNNNNNNNNNNNNNNNNNNNNNNNNNNNNNNNNNNNNNNNNNNNNNNNNNNNNNNNNNNNNNNNNNNNNNNNNNNNNNNNNNNNNNNNNNNNNNNNNNNNNNNNNNNNNNNNNNNNNNNNNNNNNNNNNNNNNNNNNNNNNNNNNNNNNNNNNNNNNNNNNNNNNNNNNNNNNNNNNNNNNNNNNNNNNNNNNNNNNNNNNNNNNNNNNNNNNNNNNNNNNNNNNNNNNNNNNNNNNNNNNNNNNNNNNNNNNNNNNNNNNNNNNNNNNNNNNNNNNNNNNNNNNNNNNNNNNNNNNNNNNNNNNNNNNNNNNNNNNNNNNNNNNNNNNNNNNNNNNNNNNNNNNNNNNNNNNNNNNNNNNNNNNNNNNNNNNNNNNNNNNNNNNNNNNNNNNNNNNNNNNNNNNNNNNNNNNNNNNNNNNNNNNNNNNNNNNNNNNNNNNNNNNNNNNNNNNNNNNNNNNNNNNNNNNNNNNNNNNNNNNNNNNNNNNNNNNNNNNNNNNNNNNNNNNNNNNNNNNNNNNNNNNNNNNNNNNNNNNNNNNNNNNNNNNNNNNNNNNNNNNNNNNNNNNNNNNNNNNNNNNNNNNNNNNNNNNNNNNNNNNNNNNNNNNNNNNNNNNNNNNNNNNNNNNNNNNNNNNNNNNNNNNNNNNNNNNNNNNNNNNNNNNNNNNNNNNNNNNNNNNNNNNNNNNNNNNNNNNNNNNNNNNNNNNNNNNNNNNNNNNNNNNNNNNNNNNNNNNNNNNNNNNNNNNNNNNNNNNNNNNNNNNNNNNNNNNNNNNNNNNNNNNNNNNNNNNNNNNNNNNNNNNNNNNNNNNNNNNNNNNNNNNNNNNNNNNNNNNNNNNNNNNNNNNNNNNNNNNNNNNNNNNNNNNNNNNNNNNNNNNNNNNNNNNNNNNNNNNNNNNNNNNNNNNNNNNNNNNNNNNNNNNNNNNNNNNNNNNNNNNNNNNNNNNNNNNNNNNNNNNNNNNNNNNNNNNNNNNNNNNNNNNNNNNNNNNNNNNNNNNNNNNNNNNNNNNNNNNNNNNNNNNNNNNNNNNNNNNNNNNNNNNNNNNNNNNNNNNNNNNNNNNNNNNNNNNNNNNNNNNNNNNNNNNNNNNNNNNNNNNNNNNNNNNNNNNNNNNNNNNNNNNNNNNNNNNNNNNNNNNNNNNNNNNNNNNNNNNNNNNNNNNNNNNNNNNNNNNNNNNNNNNNNNNNNNNNNNNNNNNNNNNNNNNNNNNNNNNNNNNNNNNNNNNNNNNNNNNNNNNNNNNNNNNNNNNNNNNNNNNNNNNNNNNNNNNNNNNNNNNNNNNNNNNNNNNNNNNNNNNNNNNNNNNNNNNNNNNNNNNNNNNNNNNNNNNNNNNNNNNNNNNNNNNNNNNNNNNNNNNNNNNNNNNNNNNNNNNNNNNNNNNNNNNNNNNNNNNNNNNNNNNNNNNNNNNNNNNNNNNNNNNNNNNNNNNNNNNNNNNNNNNNNNNNNNNNNNNNNNNNNNNNNNNNNNNNNNNNNNNNNNNNNNNNNNNNNNNNNNNNNNNNNNNNNNNNNNNNNNNNNNNNNNNNNNNNNNNNNNNNNNNNNNNNNNNNNNNNNNNNNNNNNNNNNNNNNNNNNNNNNNNNNNNNNNNNNNNNNNNNNNNNNNNNNNNNNNNNNNNNNNNNNNNNNNNNNNNNNNNNNNNNNNNNNNNNNNNNNNNNNNNNNNNNNNNNNNNNNNNNNNNNNNNNNNNNNNNNNNNNNNNNNNNNNNNNNNNNNNNNNNNNNNNNNNNNNNNNNNNNNNNNNNNNNNNNNNNNNNNNNNNNNNNNNNNNNNNNNNNNNNNNNNNNNNNNNNNNNNNNNNNNNNNNNNNNNNNNNNNNNNNNNNNNNNNNNNNNNNNNNNNNNNNNNNNNNNNNNNNNNNNNNNNNNNNNNNNNNNNNNNNNNNNNNNNNNNNNNNNNNNNNNNNNNNNNNNNNNNNNNNNNNNNNNNNNNNNNNNNNNNNNNNNNNNNNNNNNNNNNNNNNNNNNNNNNNNNNNNNNNNNNNNNNNNNNNNNNNNNNNNNNNNNNNNNNNNNNNNNNNNNNNNNNNNNNNNNNNNNNNNNNNNNNNNNNNNNNNNNNNNNNNNNNNNNNNNNNNNNNNNNNNNNNNNNNNNNNNNNNNNNNNNNNNNNNNNNNNNNNNNNNNNNNNNNNNNNNNNNNNNNNNNNNNNNNNNNNNNNNNNNNNNNNNNNNNNNNNNNNNNNNNNNNNNNNNNNNNNNNNNNNNGGUUUUCUAAAUAAUUAUCUAGAUAGUUCGUCUAAUAAUUAUCCUCUUACCCUAAAUUCUCGCAUAGAAAUCAUAGCUGGACUCCAUCCCCUUGACAACCAGUAUCUUCCGAAUGAAGUCAUAGCUGGUUGGUUUGGAGAAGAACCAGAGAAUGAUCAUCCUAUCCCCUUGGAUGAUCACCGUGAUGAAGACUUUUCGUAUGAUGCUAACUCCGAACCAGAGGUUGAGAACCUACCCCGAGCAACUCCCUUUCCAAUUCCUAACCCUCGUCUUGCUUUUCAUGGCCCGACCCUGAGUGAGUGGAAUGCUUGGAAACAGGGAGCCAAGGACAAGGUCAAUUUAUGCUAUUUGAUGGGGACCGAAGCUUUUACGACUUGAGCAAUGGGGCUCAGCAGAUAGAGUCUUGCCAAUCUUGGUCCGCAGAGAGGCCCGAAAUGAGAUUCAAGGCAAGACAGCCCUACAUCAGAUUGCAGAAGUAGGCGCCUAUNUAGUCGCCUAUGCUAGAAUGCAUACCCUCCACACCAUUCAUCUAGAAGAUACACACGAGAGAUCAGAGAGAAACUAUGAAACCCUACUGCAAACACUGACUGAAUCACGAGCCGAAGUCAUAGAGCUCCGAGUACGCCAGAUGGUGUGCGAAAGUCACCUACUUGACAUGGAACGUCAAUUGGUUGAACUAUGAGUUCACCAGAGGAAUGACUGUCGCCAGUAGUAGACGCUUUACUUUAUUUUCCGUUAUAAAAAGAAAUCGUGUUUUCUGUCUAUGCCGAAUGGGGCAUUUUCUAUGAAAUUAUCUUGUACCGUAAGUACUUUAGUUAGGUCUUUAUGCUGUCAGGAACUAUCUUUUGUGGAUAUGAUGUAAGACCUUUACAAGGUCAUUUUUCCCCGAAUCCUUACAUCGUGAAUAUCAAAGAUAUUGACAGCCGGCUAACUUCUGUGUCAUUCUUCAUUCAAGUACUUUUAUCUUAGUUUCAUUGGAGUCUAUAUAAAUCAUACUUUAGUCAAGUCAUUGGACUAUAGUGAUUUAUCUCUAGAGACAUUUCCAAGUCUCUUUCAGUGGUUGGAUCUUGUUAUUCACCAACCCACGAUACCUCAGCUCGAACGACAAAUGUUUUGAGACCACUCUACGAAUAUACUUUCAUUCUGUAGUAGGACUGCAUCAUAGGGAUGUAGGUCAAACUUUCGCGAACAUACUUUCAUUCUUUAACUAGGACUGCAUCAUAGGGAUGUAGGUCAAACUUUCGAGAACAUACUCUUACUCUUUACAUGAACAAUCUAAGUAAAUCAGGGUCAACCAGAAUCGCUCACAAAACCCUUAUCUUUUGUGUUACAGAAUCAUGUCGUCAUCCGGAAGCAAUCAGUCGAACAAGGAAACCUCCGCUUUUACUAUGGACGCCGCUACCUUUCAAACAGCAGUUACAGCUGCCGUNGAGGGUAAGGAAGAAUCAGUUAUUCGACUACCUUUUCAAUCUUAAUUAUAUACGACUCGUAUACACGAGAUUGUGAUCGUGAAGCCCUGUAUAAAUUCUAAAAUGGACUUCAGGACGGAGAACUGCCUAAGUAUACGAGUAAUCACAUCGUCAUGUGAACAAACUUAGAACCCAGUACGACUCCCGAAAACAGAUCGCCCUAUAGUUUAAACACCCUCGGAGAUACCAGAACAGUACAAACCACUUGACGAACUACACAGAAAGAGAAUUAGAAGACUAGGCUUCUCACCCUAGAGAACCCCGGUCAUAUUCUCGCGGAGAUCGACGGAUUGCAACGUAUGUGCCUCGGAUAUCGAGGACUCCGUCAAGAUUUUCAUAGAAAUUGUUAUCUCUGCCUCGCAUAGACAAAAUGGUUGAGCAAACGAAAGGAAAGAAACUACUUCCAGGAAUGGAUCUGGAAUCCGAAAAUCACCAGUUCGAGUGUUAGGGGAGGAUCUCCGGAAGACUAUCUCCUGAACUCGAUGCGGACACUUCGAGUUCGUAGUGAUACCUUUCAGAUAGGACCAAUACGCCCAUAGUUUUCAUGAGCUAAAUAAUUAGAGUUAUGUCUUUCUUAUUUGGAUCAGUCAUCAUUUCUCCAUGUAAUGACUUACUUAUCUACCCUCGUAGUAAGAAGAAAGCCCAUGGUAACAUUCCUACAGAGGAACUUUUAGCAAAGUUCUCUAGGCACGAGUUUUGAAAUUGAAGAGUCAAAUUUCUAGGACACACUGUUAGUAAUGUGAGAAAUUUUGAGUACUCUCUCAAUUUGUCAAAACCGUUGAGCAUUUAUCGACACCAGAGACGCCGACAGUUUUUCGCCAGAUUCUAGGUCUUACCGACCUACCGCCUUAGUUCAUUCAGAACUCCUCGCAAGCUACAGAAACUCGUACGACUUUGACCCAGCAAGGGGUGGCCUUUGACUGGGAAGUUACGUAAGAAAAGGAACCUUUGAGAUUCCAAGUGAGUGACCAAGUUCUUUAGGAUAACUCACUCUGGGAAUGGCUUAAUACGCUUCGUAAAGCGUGGAAAGCUAAAUCCAAGUUAGACAGGACCUCCGAGAUUCUUAUCAGAAUCGGUCCUGUGCCUCACACAAACUAGACCUACUCCGCGAACUCAGUAACGUACUUUCUACUCUUCGCAUCUCGAUCGUGAAACCAUACCUUUCCGUUAGGACUCUUGCAAGUCCACUCGUCGAGAUCCUCGCCUUCGUAUUAGAACCGUAGUGACCCUCGACCGAGAGGUCAAGCGGACGAAGAAACGCCAUCGCCAGUUAGUGAAGGUUCGUUGGAAUGCCAACCGAGAACCCGUUAUCACUUAGGUGCGCUAGAACCAAUCGAUUAGGAAGUUUCCUCCUCACGACUCGAUCAUUCGUGCAUACUUCCUUGCUUAAAUUCUAAUUUCGGGACGAAAUUCCUUCUAACGGGGGGAUGAUGUGACAACCCGAUAUUUCGAGACAAUGUAAUGUAAAACCAAUCAAAUUUAGGUCAAAAUAUAACUUUCCUAAAAUCUUAUUUGGGUUAAAUAAAGUAGUAGGAAUCGUAUCAAGGUUUUCGUACAUAUAAAGAACCCUAAAAUCCGAGUUAUAACGAAGAAGUUAUGACCAACCGAAGAUUCUCGGCAAAACCGGCAACACCGAUUAAACGAAAAACGCGAAGUUUCAAUACAAUAGUUUUUAGCCUUAAGUAUCUAAAUGAAAGUUAUAGAUAACCUCAAACCGUGAGCGUACAUAAAAAGAACGUCCAAAUCUGACUUCGUAUGAGAAAGUUAUGAUUUUUCCAAGAUUCGGGUAUAGCAGUAGACAGCUAAAAACUCGAAAUAGAGCUCGAGAUACUUUUGACCAAAACAACCUAAAUGAGAAUCUAAGGUCUCAACAUUAGUAGCGCAACGGCGAAAAGUCUGACGAAAACGGACACCGGAUGAAGAAGUUAUGGAUUUUUAACGGACUUUUCGUGUCCCGGCCCGUUAAAAAUAAAUAAUUAAAAAUAAAGUCAAAAUUUGCCGAUGAAGUCUAAACGAGAGUUGUAGAUCAUGUUUUUAGCUACGCGUGCAUAUAAAGAACGUCGAAAACGGAGCUCGUAUGCGAAAGUUAUGGAUUUUACAAGUUCGGGGUCCAAAAUCCGAGGCUGUCAGGCCCCCACGACGUGGCACAAGCUUGCCGCGACCCGGCAAGUGACUGAGGGCGUCCAAUCAAUGGAAGAGGAUAGGUUUGACUCCCCACGACGUGGCCAUCACUUGCCAUGACGUGGCACACCCCAAAAAUGCCCCUAUAAGUAGAUUUCAAGGGCUCCGAGUUCCAUUGUUCAGUUCCUUUCUUUCUCGCGCUGAAACUAUGCGUUUAAUCCCCCGAUACCCUCCCAAAGCCCCGGUUUUCGCCUUCAAGUCCGAUGGGAAGGUUUUGUGUUCUCGAGAUUCCCGAGAUUCCCGAGAAUCCUGAUAUUUUCCCGCGUUUCCAACUCUUCCUGUCGAAGUUCUGCUCGAUUCUCCUCUCGACUACUUCAAAUCAACCACUUCAAUCAAGUGAGUUCAUACCCCUACAACCACACUUUAAAUGCUUUUUAAAUGCUUUUGAAACACUUUUAAGGGGGGGANAAAUGUGAUGCAUGAAAUGGUUUUACAUCCUAACAGCACAUUGUUACCAAAUGUUUUACUUUUGAAAUGGGUAUUCAAAUGACAUCAAGUCAUUGUUAUUUAUUGUUCAAAACCCAUGAACUGUUUUACAAAACCAUUUUUCAUUCUUGAACUAAACUAUGCAUAUACACUUAUGUUCCUAUAUAGGUAUUGAUGUUAUAGUCGCAUCUUUCAUUUAGUUUCUCACACCUUUGAUUUGUAAGAGUGUGUAAACUUACAUGAGCAACUAGUUAUAUUACAGUAGAUUAUCAUAGGGAUAAUUUGAAGAUAUCAAACAUUACUUCUAUUACAAGAAGUCACACAAGAUUCAGUUCAUUCAUGAGUCUAUACUAGUACAUUACCUGAUACAUGAGUACUUACAGAUGUUUACCUGAUACAUGAGUACCUUUACAUAUACUUACAUGAUACAUGAACACGAUUACAUGAACGCAUUACAUGAGUACCUUUCCAUAGAUACACUUAUAUGUGUACAUUAACAGGAUUACUUGUAUCUCGAAUUGCGAGGAUGAUUUAUUAGUACCUUCUGUGUAAAUCUUCCUACUUAUUCCACAGUACCUCGGAAUACUUAAGACAGGACCCUAUCGCAUAGUACCUCGGGAUACCUAGAUGGGCCUCUAUCCCACAGUACCUCGGGAUAUAUGUCCGGGGCUAACCAUUCCGGAACCCAUCUGUUAGCAACAGUGGGUAAUGAACAUCUACGGAUGCCUACGGUUAUUACUUAUACUAGGAGUACCUUUACAGGGACUAACCAUUCCUUCCACCUGCUGCUGCUACAGAGGAAAAAUUGGACAAUCUUCGGAUGUCGAUUAGGUUAUAUGUAAGAUGUUAACCCUAGUACCUCGGGUCAACAUUUACAUUAGUUUUGUUAGCACCAGUACCUCCGGCUAACACUUACAUGAUUAUAUUUUUCUUGUUUACUUUAUUUUGUGAUAGCUUUCACAUAAACGAGGAGUUAGACCAAGUACUUGGUACUAGUCAAUAGAAAGGAAAAACUAUCAUUUUACAUAGUCAUAACAAAACAUUCGGGUCUUGUUAGAAGACUACACCUCAUUCAUAGAAAACAUUCGGGUCUUGGUAGAAGACUACACUUCAUUUAUACAAAACAUUCGAGUCUUGGUAGAAGACUACAAUUCAUACUUAUAGAAAAUAAGGGUUUUUUUUUAGGGAUUUCAUACUUAACACAACGUUUUCAUUUAAAGGUUUACAUGGCUUUCAUAACAAAUUUUCCACAAAUAAAGCAAUGACACUUAUAUACUUAUGAACUCACCAGCUUUAAAGCUUAUACUCUCUUUCAAAAUAACUUGUGUUCCCAGGUCGCCACUAGACAGGUACGAAGGACAGGUUGUGAGAAGACGGAGCAGUCAAGUCUCGUCUUUUAUUUUGAUUGUAUAUUUUUGGUGUCUUACCACAAUGAAAGAACACACAUGUAUUAAAACUUUACUUAUAAUGCAAUGGAUGAUGUUGUUGCUUGUUUAUUAUAUUACACUGUUGUGAUACUGUACAUGACGUCCUCCACCCCUGAACGUUUCCGCCGUUCUCGGUUUUGGGGUGUAACAGUAGAGAGAGAAAGUUCUUAAGGUGUGAAAAAGGUUGAAUUGAAGGCUACUCAACCCUUAUAUAGGGUUGAGUUUACGACUUGGGUGGGGGGUCCACCAAACACUAAUCGCAAACGGGGUAUUUCGCGUGAUUUUUCGUUUUCCGUCACAUAUGAAAUUAUGACAGAUAACUCCAAUUGAUUUACUUAGCUUAAGAAACUAACCGAAAACUUUAAUCAAAAUAAAUUUUAUUAACGGAAGUAGGUUACAUUGACAGAAUAAAUUUCGGGUUGUCACAAUCGGCCACUAGUGUGUAAAAGAAGGGCUAGCUGAUAUCAUGAAGUGUGGAUUUCUCUCUUAGUUAUUCCAAGAGCAUUUGAUGUUGUGUGAGCCAUUUGAGGUGUCACAUUUCAGGCACUAGGCACUCAAGCUCCAUGGAGUCACGCUACACUACAAGAGGCGUGUAUUGUAUCUAUAUUAUUACUCAAGUAUUUAUGAAUGUAUGCUAGAUAGGGUAAUAACUUGGAAUACUAGUAUUUACAUGUAUAUUAGAGAAAAUAUAGAUCCAAGGUAUUUAGAGUUACAUGUACACCAUAGGAGUGUUAAAAUACUCAAAACCCAACAGUGGUAUCAGAGCCAUGGGUUGUUUUUUGUUAUAUUGAUGCAAAUGUUUUGUUUUCAAAGUUGAAAAAAAAAGGAAAAAAAAACAUGAGAUUUAUCAAAUUUUAAGAUAAUUACUUGUUUUUGUGAAAAAAUAAAUUAUUUGCAAAAUUUGAAUCAUUUGCUAUUUUAGUUGAAUUAGGUCAAAUUUAGUAAAAGAUAAAAUGAUAUGAUUAUUUUAUUAGUUUUAAAAGUUUGAUCUAAAGAGUGUUUUCUUUAAACCUCCAUAAGUUAUGGAUAUAUAAAGGUUUUAUAAAAAAAUAAUUCAAUGUUUUUAUGGAGUUACAAAAUUUGUGUUAAUGUUUUAAAGAAUUCUGUAACUUAUUCUUAACUUAUGAAACAAGAAAAGUUUCAUCAUAAAACAAGCAUUUAACUCCAUAAGUUAUGGAUCACCAAAAGUUUUUUAUGUUACCUGGUUUUAUGAGUGAAUUUAGAUUAAUGAAAAAAAUUAUGUGAUAGUUGGUUUUAAUCCAAAUUGAUCUAAAAGAAGUUCAUAAAAUGUGUUUUUGUAACUUAAAAGUCACAUUUAUAAAUCUUAAACUCAUAAAAGUCGCCAUAGGUGUCACACCCCAAAACCAAGAACGACGGAAACGUUCUGGGGCGGAGGACGUCAUGUAUAAUAUCACAAUAAUGUAAAGUAGUAAACAAGCAACAACAUCAUCCAUUGCAUUAAUAAUAUAAUUAUUAUACAAAUGUGUUCUGUCAAAUUUUGAUAAACACUAAAGCAUAAAUCAAAAUGAACGAUAAGUCUUGAACAAACUCCAUCUUCCUUUCUCCUUGCAUCGGUACCUGUCUAUGAUGACCUGAGGAUACAAGUAAUUUUGAAAGCGAGUAUCAGCUUUGAAGCUGGUGAGAUCAUAAGUAUUUAGUGUCUUAAUUUGUAUGUAAGAAUUUGUAUGUUUAUGAACUGUAAGGAUGAAAAUGUUUGUAAGUGAACUGUAAGUAUGAAAAUGUUUGUAAAACAACUGUAAACGUUUGAAAAACCCUAGAAACCCCUAUGAUUCCUACUAUUAUAUAAAGUGCGUCUUCUACCAAGACCUAACUAUUCUCAAUGUAGUCUUCUACCAAGACUUAACUGUUCUAAAUGUUCGUUUCUUGUAAAAGUGUGUAAUUUUACCAAGUGUAACUAUCAUUAUCAAAAUAUAGUUUUUACAUUUAUGGUUUAAGUGAAAAGGUCACUAAUUAUCUGUAUAGGAAAAAUUAAUGUAGUACUAAAAUGUAGCUCUAUAAGAACUACUGUUGUACUAUCUACCUUAAACCAGAUUUAUAUUAAGGCAUUAUGUGAUAAACUGCACCAUACUAUCGACUGAUAACAAUGACAUACGAAUGGUCGUAAUAACGGAAUGACGCUUUGGCACCCGCAUACCUGCAGAUCCGGCUAUAGCUAGCAGCAAGGUGUAGGAUUGCCAAUCCAGUAUAGAUCUAUACGCAAACUCAUGCUCUCCCUCCAAGAGACUCUGUCUACAACUUGGGUCAUGACAUUUAAGUCAUGCUUUGAUUUAAAUCACAAUAAUUAACAUAUUCUUGUAUAUGUAAUGUAAUCAGCUGUUCUAGCUGUAAUGUACGUGCUCUCUACCUAGCAAGUAUAGUAAUGUAAUCAUUCUAGUAUAGUCGUAUGUUUUCUCUUCGUAGUAUAGUUGUAUAUGUAAUGUACUGUAAUGUUCUAGAAAGUACUGACUCAUGAAUGAACUGACUCAUUGUAUGAUAUCGCGUUCUAGUAAUUGUUCUAGUAUCUUCCUAAACUAUCCAUAUGGUAGUUUACUAGUGAUCUAACUUGUACGUAUGAACAUGGAUGUAUACCCUUGCUACCCAAGGGCAUGAGAUGAACUAGAAGGACCUUUUAUGACUAUACAUGUACACAUGAUAUAUAACUAAUAUUUAAACGACCUUCGGACGAGUACCCGAUAUCCCACCAGACCACAUCUCAAGCGCGAAAAGGAAAUAGGGUGGAUAACCUUCCUAAGUCUUUUAAACAUUUCUUAUAUAACUAUACAUAUACAGGCAUGCAAUUUAUAAUAUAAAAGCAUAAAUAAGUUUUGUAAAAUAUUUGAACAUAAACAUUCUUUUAAGAAAAGAUCGACUUGAUGUCAAUCUAUAAAACAGUUUGAAGGCAUAAGUUUGAUAAAACAGUUUAAGUAUAAAGGAACAUUUGUUUGAAACACAAUUGUAAAUAAGUUUGAAAUGUAACAUACAGCGUAAAAUGUACAGUGUAAUAAAGAGUUUAAAACAUAUAAAAUGUUUAUAAAAAUCAUUUGAAGGAACUGUUUGGUAAAACAGCAAAUGAGUAGCCAAAUGAUUUGAAUGUUGUAUAUUAAUCACAUGUGAUUGAUGUAAUAACUAGCAUAAUUCUACUUAUUAAUCACAUGUGACUGAUAUAAUAAGUAGCAUGAUUCUACUUGUAUCCCCCCCAUAAAACAUUUAAAAAUAGUUUAAAACAUUAGUUAAGGGGUAUGAACUCACCUGCAGUAAGUGACUGGAAUUGAACGGACUGUUAUCGUACGGAAGAAUCGGACAAGUGCUUGGUGUCAAGUGAAGACUUAGACACACACAAUGAUCCUAAUUACAUAUGAAGACGUAUGUAUAUAAAUAAUUAGUGAUUAAAAUGCUAAUUAUACAAGUAUAAACAUUUAAACGCGAGGGAAACACUUUUGGUCAAGUGCUAGGAGGCUAAUGGGUUGCAACAAAGGAGUGAAAUGCCUCUAAUGGAAGUUUAUGGCCAAAUGACCAUAUGUAUUGGAGUUUACGGCCCAGGGGAGUAAGCUCCUGGCCGUAAACUCUCAACAAAGCCCUUAAAUGAAGUCUAUCAAUUAUACAACUCAUGUGGUGAAUUGUUACAAGGCUAAAUCAAGUGUUUGGGUGCCAUAUUUACUCCAUUAAGGAGUUUACGGCCCAUGGACCAUAUACCCUUGGAGUUUACGGCCGUAAACUCGCUUGGGAGGGUGUUUAUGGUGCUUUCAAGUCUCUAAAUUAACUAGGAACUAAUCUAUGCUUUUGUACUUGGCUUUAGAAGAGGUUAUGACACCAUUUGGCACCAUUUUAUGGAGUUCACGGCCCUAGAACCUUUUGGGCCAUAAACUCCCUUACUCUUGGUGUUCUAAGUGAGUUAGCUAGUCCAAAACUCAUUUAGGUACAUGCCCAAAUUGGUCACUUGGCUUAAGGAAGGUGUUAGGGUAUCAUUUGGCCCAUUUAUAGGUGUUUACGGCCCAAGAACUUGUCUUGGCCGUAAACUCCUCAACACUUGUGCUUCCAUAUGUUUUCUAGGUUCUAAACACUUUAGGGUACAUGUCUAAAAUAAAGUAUAAGCCUUGGGUGCCUUAAAAGCACCAUUUAGAGCAUGUUCUUUGGAGUUUACGGCCUAAGAUAUUCAUGUUCUAGGCUUGGUUUUCGGAGUUUACCGCCUAAGAACACCUUGGGGAGUAAACUCCUAAAUCGGAUGAUUUAGCUAUGUAAUCUAUGUUAUGAACACAAUUAAAGCUUUCUAACACUACUAGAAAGAGUUACUCACAAUUUGGGAUAAAAACUCGAAGAUCCGUGAGAGAGAAUUUUGACUUUUCUCUAAAUGGAAUUCAACAAAUGAACCAAUUUGGUUCAGAUUUCUAUUUAUAGUCCUGAGAUAUUUUUGGUAGAAAAUAUUUUUAUUGCUGGAACGAACUCUAAUGUCCUAGAGUCUUGGAAUAACAGUGUUGCACAAAACCCUAGUGCAUCCACACUCCUAAUAUCUCCUUCAGUGUAAAAUCCUGAAAAUUGCCAAACUUACACUCGAAGUAUGAAUUUUCACUACAACUGUUCUAACUUCUAUUGGAUUGAUAUGGUUUGUUCAGAAUGGAAAUUUUGGGUUGUCACAUCAUCCCCCUGUUGAAGGGAAUUUCGUCCCGAAAUUAGAAUUUAGGCAAGGAAGUAUGUACGAAUGAUCGAGUCGUGAGGAGGAAACUUCCUAAUCGAUUGGUUCUAGUGCACCUAAGUGAAAUCGGGUUCUCGGUUGGCAUUCCAACAAACCUUCACUAAUCGGCGACGGAGUUGCUUUGUCCGCUUGACCUGUCGGUCGAGGGUCACUACGGUUCUAAUAUGAAGACGAGGACCUCGACGAGUGGACUUACAAGAGUCCUAACGGAAAGGUAUGGUUCGACGAUCGAGACGCGAAGAGUAGGAUGUAUGUUACUGAGUUUGCGGAGUAGGUCUAGUUUGUGCGAGACACAGGACAGAUUCUGAUGAGAAUCUCGGAGGUCCUAACUAUAUUGGAUUUAGCUUUCCACGCGAUACGAAGCGUAUUAAGCCAUUCCUAGAGUGAGUUAACCUAAAGAGCUAGGUCACUCACUUGGAAUUCCAAAGGUUCCUCUUCUUGCUUAACUUCUGGGUCAAAGGCCACCCCUUGCUGGGUCAAAGUCGUACAGGUUUAUGUAAUUUUUCGAGGAGUUCUGUAUGGACUAAGAUGGUAGGUCGGUAAGACCCAGAAUUUGGCGAAAGACUGUCGGCGUCUCUGGUGUCGAUAAAUGCUCAAUGGUUUUGACAAAUUGAAAGAGUGCUCAAAAUUUCCCACAUUACUAACAGUGUGUCAUAGAAAUUCGACUCUUCAAUUUCAAAACUCGUGCCUAGAGAACUUCGCUAAAAUUCCUCUGUAGGAAUGUUUCCAUGGGUUUUCUUCUUACUUCGAGGGUAGAUAAGUAAGUCAUUACAUGGAGAAAUGACGAACUGAUCCAAGUAAGAAAGACGUACUCUAUUCAUUUAGCUCAUGAAAACUAUAGUCGUAUUGGUCCUAUCUGAAGGGUAUCACUACGGACUCGAAGUGUCCGCGUCGAGUUCAGGAGAUAGUCAUCCGGACAUCUUUCCCUAACACUCGAACUGAUGAUAUUUGGAUCUCAGGUCCAUUCCUGAAAGUAAUUCUUUCCUUGCGUUUCCUCAACCAUUUCAUCUAUGCGAGGCAGAGAUAACGAUUUCUAAUGAAAAUCUUGACGGAGUCCUCGAUAUCCGAGGCACAUAAGAUGCAAUCUGUCGAUCUCUGGGAGAAUAUGACCGGGGUUCUAUAGGGUGAGAACCUAGUCUUCUAAUUCUAUUUAUGUGCAGUUCGCUAAGUUGUUUGCACUGUUCUGGUAUCUCCGUGGGUGUUUAAACUAUAGGGUGAUCUGUUUACGGGAGUCGUACUGGGUUCUACGUUUGUUCACAUGACGAUGUGAUUACUCGUCGUCUUGAUCAGUUCUCCGUCCUGAAGUUCAUAUUAGAACUCAUACAUGGUUUCACAAUCAUAACUUCGGGUAUACGAGUCGUAUAUAAUUAAGAUUGAAAAGGUAGUCGAAUAACUGCUUCUUCUUUAUGCUCACAUCCCAUCGGGGAAAAAGAAGUUAAAGUGGAAUCAUUAGUUCUAAACCUGUAGAAGCUUGAUUAUAUAUCACUCUUAUGUAUACAAUUCCUCAGUGAUAGAUCAAUCACAUGAAUCCUUGGAUUAAACUUGACGCACUGCACGAGUGGUACUUCGGGGAUUUCUUCGGAAAGAAAAUAACUAAGAGGUACUCCUGGCAUGAGUACUUCGGUGUUCUGAUGUGACGGCUUCGCUGGAAAAGUGAUCUAGAAGAAAGAGAUGUACGUAUGAAGCUGUUUUCGUGAGGAUGAGAUUGAAUCGAGUCGUAUGAUAAUGUCAGAUUCAUAUUGAACCUUAAAGACAUUAGAUUUGAACAUAAGACGUUUUACAGACAAAACACAACCAUGCAACCACCAACAGAGUUACAAUACUUUAGACUUACAAAAAGACAAUUGCUACGAAAAUAAGGUAUACUACAAAAGACCAGUAUACGCAGCACGAGAAUCUCUAUACUGACAGGAUCUCGCAAAAAGUAAGACUCUAGUUGCACUAGUUCUGGAUAGUUUAUAAGUCUGUUACAAUGAAACGCCUAAAUUACAUUUAACGUGGUUCCAGAGCAGGCUCUCCUGCAACUGUGAUCCUGAGAAUUCUCCCAUCUGUGCCAAAGUUCUUUGCUAUCGGGCAAUCUUUCUUGAAGUGCCCUAUCUCCCCGUAUUGGUGGCAUGACUGGCUAGUACUAGCUUUGGUGACGGGAUUUCGGUGUUUAGCCAGUGUUAUGUGGACACGAGUUCCUUCGUCGUUACUCCACUUUAAAAACUGCUUCGUAAAUCGUUCCGCGUUAUAACUAAUCUUGUGGGUAGGGUUAGUCCCGAUGAAAGGGACUUGAGUGAUGGGUUGUGCCGAUGCUCCACAUUCACGAGCAUGGUGCCCUAUGUUUAGGCAAUUGCAACAUUGCAUCUCAUGGCAAGCCCCAUGAUGAUGGAAACUAAACUUACCACACUUCGGGAGUUUUCCCUCGUAUGGCCUGCUCGGUACGGGAACGACAGGGGUUUCCACUUGCUGUUGUUGUAUAGCCAGCCUUUGGGAUCUCUUGCGUUCUUUCCGGGCUUGACGCUUUCGUUUCUUGUUCUCUGCUUUUCGGCUUUGCGAGCCUGUGACUGUUACUGUUUGGCGACUUUCUGGAUGGAUACCACGAUUGGAAACCUCAUUCCCAUCAGCAGCAUUGACCGUGCUGAUAGUGCUAAGGUACGCAAGGACCGCGGUUACGGCAGCCACUACGACAGCUAUAACUACUGUUUGAAAGGUAGCGGCGUCCAUAGGAAAAGCGGAGGUUUCGCUGUUCGACUAAUUGCUUCCGGAUGACGACAUGUGUCACACCCCCAAACCAGAAUGGCGGAAACGUUCGGGGGCGGAGGACGUCAUAUUUAGUAUCAUAACAGUUCAUAGAAAGGAAAGUACACACCACCAUACAUAAAUAAGGGUUUUAAAAGUGUUUACAUGAUGGUAUUCAUUACAUGUUCAAAAAAUAAAUACAUGAACAUCUUUUGAAAAGAAAUAAUUGACGGCAACACGUUAAUUCCCAAAAGUUGAUUUCCAACCUGCUUAACGGUUCCCUGAGAAUACAAGUUAUUUGAAAGAGAGAGUGUCAACAAUUAAGUUGGUGAGUUCGUAAGUCGUUUAGAAAAAUUGAAUGCCAUUCCAAAAUGAGUGUAUGUUUUCCAAGAAAAUCCCUUAUUUUCUUAUAAACGUAUGAAAUGCGUGAGAGUAUUUGUGUUGAAAAAUGUAGAUAGUUGAACCAAGAGAAUCCCUUAUUUUCCUAAUAAUUGUUUGGUUUGUGUACAGGAAAAUCCCAUAUUUUCCUAAAGUAAUAGUUUGUUUAAUGUCCAAGACUAAAAAUUGGAAGCAAACCACAUGCUUUAAAAGAUUUUAAACAUAGAUUUAUAUAAUAAACCUAUCAGAAGAUUUCAGUUUGUUAGAGAAAUAAUAGUUUUAAUAGCUACUCGUUCAUCAAUCAGAAGUACUAUAAUAAUUGUGUAUCCGAUGAGUUUUAUAACCAUACUAAACAUAAUAUGCAUAUAGCAACGUUCUUCAGGCGUCGUAGCAUUAUGACAAAUUGUCACCCCAAAGGACGGACUGUAGCUAACAGUCAGGGUGCGGGAUCAUGACUUCCCGUAUAGAUCUAUACACAUUUGACAUGUUCUCCUAACGGGAGACUCUGGUUAUAGACAGGACUUGUAGUAUUACCUUCUACCAAGAAGGUAGUAUUUGAAGAUAUACACGUCUCAUGGAUUCUCAACUAAGUCUGUAUUAAAGUAAUAGUUUUGUAUGCAAAGUUUAUCCUUUUUCACAAUGUUUGGCAAAGCAUAAAUCAUAAGUUUUUAGAAUGUAUAAACGGCUUAGCAACGAAAGAUACUUUGAAAUCACUAAAUACUUUGUGUACAGGAAAAUCCCAUAUUUUCCUAAAGUAAUAGUUUGUUUAAUGUCCAAGACUAAAAAUUGGAAGCAAACCACUUGCUUUAAAAGAUUUUAAACAUAGAUUUAUAUAAUAAACCUAUCAGAAGAUUUCAGUUUGUUAGAGAAAUAAUAGUUUUAAUAGCUACUCGUUCAUCAAUCAGAAGUACUAUAAUAAUUGUAUAUCCGAUGAGUUUUAUAACCAUACUAAACAUAAUAUGCCUGUAGCGACGUUCUUCAGGCGUCGUAGCGUUAUGACAAACUGUCACCCCAAAGGACGGACUGUAGCUAACAGUCAGGGCGCGGGAUCAUGACUUCCCGUAUAGAUCUAUACACAUUUGACAUGUUCUCCUAACGGGAGACUCUGGUUAUAGACAGGACUUGUAGUAUUACCUUCUACCAAGAAGGUAGUAUUUGAAGAUAUACACGUCUCAUGGAUUCUCAACUAAGUCUGUAUUAAAGUAAUAGUUUUGUAUGCAAAGUUUAUCCUUUUUCACAAUGUUUGGCAAAGCAUAAAUCAUAAGUUUUUAGAAUGUAUAAACGGCUUAGCAACGAAAGAUACUUUGAAAUCACUAAAUACUUUGUAUAAGUCUAGUGCAUGCAAAGUAUGACAAGAGUUUUCCAUAGUAGUAAUGAAUUCCAAGUGAUUCAUUUGAUAAAAACGAGUGAAGUGAAACUUUAUAAAAUACACGAUAAUAACCGUAUGUUUACUUGUAUUCCCCCCUAAAAGAGUAUAAAAAGAAUUUAAAAUGUAUCUAAAGUGUGUUUGUAGGGGUAUGAACUCACUUGAUAGAUUGAAGAAGGUGUGACGAAAACCAAGCAGAACUUUGGCUUGAAAAAGCGGAUUAUCGCAGGAUUCUCGGGAAUCUCGGGAGUACAAACGACCUUCGGAACUUGAGCUAAGCGACCAGGGCUUCGGGUUUGCACGGGCACAGAAAACAAGGCAAAACGCAAGAAAAACGAGAGGAAAUGAGCAAGUUUUCCCGGAACCCUCGCAUCCCUUUUAUAGGGGCUGAGAGGCCCAAGUAAGCGGGGCGUACGGGCGUACACGGGGCGUACCCGUGCGUCAUGCAUGACCGAGUCCUCGACUGCCCCGGAGUUCGGAUGGGACGGGGCGUAGCUCCCAUAGGGGGCGACGUGGACGAACCAGGGCCAAGGCCUUGAGUACGCUGGGCGUACUCAUGUACGCAGGGCGUACUCGCGUGACUCACACUUCAGAUAAUACCGAAAUUCAUAUCUCCUUCAUACGAACUCCGUUUUCGACGUUCUUUAUGUCCACGCGUAUGUGAGACUAAGAUCAACAACUUUCGUUUAGAUUCCGUCGGCAAAUUCCGAAAUUAUUUUUAUUAUUUAUUUUUAAAAGGUCGGGGUAAGAAAAUUCGUUAAUAAUUCAUAACUUUUUCAUACGAUGUCCGUUUUGGGCGUUCUUUUUAUGUACGUUUGCAGUUUAACGAUAUCUAUGACUUUCAUUUAGACACCUAAGGUCAACAAGUAUUUUAUUGAAACUUUGCGUUUUUACGUAACUUCGUAUUGCCGGUUUUUGUCGGAAAACUUAGAAUGGUCAUAACUUCUUCGUUAUAACUCGGAUUUUAGUGUUCUUUAUAUGCUUGGAAACCUUAAGAAGAUAUCUACUACAUAGUGUACUCCAAACAGAGCUUUUGAAUACUUCAUUUUUCGAUGAUAUUCUAAUUACUUUUUCAAAGACGUUACAAGACUCGAUUUUUAAUGACCUGAAAUGACGGGUUGUUACAACAAGAUUCUGCAACACGAAAGAUAAGGAUUUUGUGAGCGAUUCUAGUUGACCCUUGAUGUACUUAUAUUGUUCAUGUAAAGAGUACGACGAUGUUCUCGAAAGUUUGACCUACAUCCCUAUGAUGCAGUCCUAGUACAGAAUGAAAGUAUGUUCGCGAAGGUUUGACCUACAUGCCUAUGAUGCAGUCCUAGUACGGAAUGGAAGUAUGUUCGUGAAGGUUUGACCUACAUCCCUAUGAUGUAGUCCUAGUACGGAAUGGAAGUAUGUUAGUAGAAUGGUCUCAAAAUGUUUGUUGUGCAAGCCGAGGUAUCGUGGGUUGGUGAAUAACAAGGUCCAACCACUGAAAGAGACUUGGAAAUGUCUCCGGAGAUAAAUCACUAUAGUCCAAUGUCUUGACUAAAGCAUGUUUCAGAUAGACCCCAAUGAAAGUAUGAUAAGAGUACUUGAAUGAAGAAUGACACAAAAGUUAGCCGGCUGUCAAUAUCUUUGAUAUUCACGAUGUAAGGGUUUUGGAAAAUGACCAUGUAAAGGUCUUACAUCAUAUCCACAGAAGAUAGUUCCUGACAGCAUAAAGACCUAACUAAAGUACUUACGGUACAAGAUAAUUUCAUAGAAAAUACCACCUCGGGCAUAGACAGAAAACAUGAUUCCUUUUUAAUAAAGAAAUAAAGUGAAGCGUCUACUAUCGGCGACGGUCAUCCUUCUGGUGAACUCUCAGUUCAGCCAAUUGACGUUCCACGUCAAGUAGGUUUCUUUCAUACACCCGCUAGCAUACUCGGAGCUCUAUGACUUCGGCUCGUGAUUCAGCCAGUGCUUGCAGCAGGGUUUCAUGGUUUCUCUCUGAUCUCUCGCGAGCAUCUUCUAGACGAAUGGUGCGGAGGGUAUGNAUAGACAGAAAAAACACGAUUCCUUUUUAAUAAAGAAAUAAAGUAAAGCGUCUACUACUGGCGACGGUCAUCCCUCUGGUGAACUCUUAGUUCAGCCAAUUGACGUUCCAUGUCAAGUAUGUGUCUUUCGUACACCCUCUGGCGUACUCGAAGCUCUAUGACUUCGGCUCGUGAUUCAACCAGUUCUUGCAGCAGGGUUUCAUGGUUUCUCUCUGAUCUCUUGCGAGCAUCUUCUAGACGAAUUAUGCGCAGAGUAUGCAUUCUCGCAUCAGCAAAAACUUCGGUAAUCUGAUUUAGGGCUGUCAUGCUUUGAAUCUCAUUUCGGGCCACUCUGCGGACCAAGAUUGGCAAGACUCUAUCUGCUGAGCCCCCAUUGCUCAAGUCGUAAAAGCUUCGGUCGCCAUCAAAUGGCAUAGAUUGAUCUUGUCCUUGGCUCCAUGUUUCCAAGCAUUGCACUCACUCAGGGUCGGGCCAUGAAAAGUCGGACGAGGGUUAGGAAUUGGAAAGGGAGCUGCUCUGGGCAGGUUCUCGACCUCUGGUUCGGAGUUAGCAUCAUACGAAAGGUCUUCAUAAUGGUGAUCAUUCAAAGGGAUAGGAUGAUCAUUCUCUGGUUCUUCUUCAAACCAUCCAGUAAUGACCUAAUUCGGAAGGUACUUGUUGCCGAGGGGAUGGAGUCCAGCUAUGUUUUCUAUGCAAGAAUUUAGGGUAAGAGAAUAAUUAUUAGACGAACUAUCUAGAUAAUUAUGUAGAAAACCUUCAUUAGUUACAUCGCUAUUUGUGAAGUGCAUACCAGCUAUGUGUAAUCUAAACAGGAUAGACCUUCGAAUAAGUGACCUUAAUUCCAAAUUCACACAGAAUAGGGGUAAGGCAAAAUUUUCACAGAUUCUAAGUCUAUAACAUCCUAAUUACAUAUAGCCUUAGUGUAUCCACUUAGCAACUAUCAACUUAGUAAUGAAGAUCCCGUUUUAGUUCUCAAGUAUAAAGUACUUAUAGUAACACCAAAUACUCCUAUAGUAUUUUAAUUUUAAUGUUAUGUUCUAUUGUUCUCAUUGUGGUAGGGUUGGUAAGAUUUUAGCAUUGUUGCAACCACACAAUUAAACUUAGGCACAUGCUAGUCAACCCUCGGAUAAUAUAGGUGAUCAGGCUAUAUCUUCCCAGUUUUGACCAUAUGUCUCUAAGCCCACUUGUGUUGCCCAACAAUCGUAAUUCUUUUGUACUGUCCUAGUGACACUGAUUUUAGUAUGAAUGCAGCACGUAUACUUACUUAAAUAUUUUACUAUUUAAAGUAUAAACUCUUGGUCAGAGUAUUUUUAAUCCCUUAUGCAUUUAUAGUUAGUAUAUCUUUUAUGGGUUGAUAUAUUUAAUUCACUAUAAACAAUGCUCUGAUACCAAUCUGUCACACCCCAAAACCAAGAACGGCGGAAACGUUCUGGGGCGGAGGACGUCAUGUAUAAUAUCAACAACAAUGUAAAGUAGUAAACAAGCAACAACAUCAUCCAUUGCAUUAAUAAUAUAAUUAUUAUACAAAUGUGUUCUGUCAAAUUUUGAUAAACACUAAAGCAUAAAUCAAAAUGAAAGAUAAGUCUUGAACAAGCUCCAUCUUCCUUUCUCCUUGCAUCGGUACCUGUCUAUGAUGACCUGAGGAUACAAGUAAUUUUGAAAGCGAGUAUCAGCUUUGAAGCUGGUGAGAUCAUAAGUAUUUAGUGUCUUAAUUUGUAUGUAAGAAUUUGUAAGUUUAUGAACUGUCAGGAUGAAAACGUUUGUAAGUGAACUGUAAGUAUGAAAAUGUUUGUAAAACAAUUGUAAACGUUUCAAAAACCCUAGAAAUCCCUAUGAUUCCUACUAUUAUAUAAAGCGUGUCUUCUACCAAGACCUAACUGUUCUCAAUGUAGUCUUCUACCAAGAUUUAACUGUUCUAAAUGUUCGUUUCUUGUAAAAGUGUGUAAUUUUCCCAAGUGUAACUAUCAUUAUCAAAAUAUAGUUUUUACAUUUAUGGUUUAAGUGAAAAGAUCACUAAUUAUCUGUACAGGGAAAAUUAAUGUAGUACUAAAACAUAGCACUAUAAGAACUCUUGCUGUACUAUCUACCUUAAACCGGAUUUAUAUUAAGGAAUUCUGUGAUAAAUUGCACCAUACUAUCGACUGAUAACAACGACAUACGAAUGGUCGUAAUAACGGAAUGACAUUUGGCACCCGCAGACCUGCAGGUCCGGCUGUAGCUAGCAGCAAGGUGUAGGAUUGUCAAUCCAGUAUAGAUCUAUACGCAAACUCACGCUCUCCCUCCAAGAGACUCUGGCUACAACUCGGGUCAUGACAUUUAAGUCAUGCUCCGAUUUAAAUCACAAUAAUUAACGUAUUCUUGUAUAUGUAAUGUAAUGAACUGUUCUAGCUGUAAUGUACGUGCCCUCUACCUAGCAAGUAUAGUAAUGUAAUCAUUCUAGUAUAGUUGUAUAUGUUCUCUUCUUAGUAUAGUUGUAUAUGUAAUGUACUGUAAUGUUUUAGAAAGUAUUGACUCAUGAAUGAACCGACUCAUUGUAUGAUAUCGCGUUCUAGUAAUUGUUCUAGUAUCUUCCUAAACUACCCAUAUGGUAGUUUACUAGUAAUCUAACNUAUCUAGUACGUAUGGUCAUGGAUGUAUACCCUUGCUACCCAUGGGCAUGGGAUGAACUGGAAGGACCUUUUUUUGACUAUAUAUGUACACAUGAUAUAUAAAUAAUAUUUAAACGCCCUUCGGACGAGUACCCGAUAUCCCACCAGACCACAUCUCAAGCGCGAAAAGGAAAUAGGGUGGCUGACCUUCCUAAGUCUUUUAAACAUUUCUUAUAUAACUAUACAUAUAGAGGCAUGCAAUUUAUAAUAUAAAAGCAUAAAUAAGUUUUGUAAGACAUUUGAAACAUAAUUAUUAUUUUAAGAAAAGAUCGACUUGAUGUCAAUCUAUAAAACAAUUUGAAGGCAUGGGUUUGAUAAAACAGUUUAGUAUAAAGAAACAUUUGUUUGAAACACAAUUGUAAAUAAGUUUGAAAUGUAAUAUACAGAGUAAAAUGUACAGUGUAAUAAGGAGUUUAAAACAUAUAAAAUGUUUAUAAAAAUCAUUUGAAGGAAACUGUUUGGUAAAACGGCUAAUGAGUAGCCAAAUCAUUUGAAUGUUGUAUAUUAAUCACAUGUGAUUGAUGUAAUAACUAGCAUAAUUCUACUUAUUAAUCACAUGUGAUUGAUAUAAUAAGUAGCAUGAUUCUACUUGUAUCCCCCCCAUAAAACAUUUAAAAAUAGUUUAAAACAUUAGUUAAGGGGUAUGAACUCACCUGCAGUAAGUGACUGGAAUUAAACGGACUGUUAUCGUACGGAAGAAUCGGACAAGUGCUUGGUGUCAAGUGAAGACUUAGACACACACAAUGAUCCUAAUUACAGAUGAAGACAUAUGUAUAUAAAUAAUUAGUGAUUAAAACAUUAAUUAUACAAGUAUAAACAUUUAAACGCGAGGGAAACACUUUUGGUCAAGUGCUAGGAGGCUAAUGGGUUGCAACAAAGGAGUGCAAUGCCUCUAAUGGAAGUUUAUGGUCAAAUGACCAUAUGUCUUGGAGUUUACGGCCCAGGGGAGUAAGCUCCUGGCCGUAAACUCUCAACAAAGCCCCCAAAUGAAGUCUAUCAAUUAUACAACUCAUGUGGUGAAUUGUUUCAAGGCUAAAUCAAGUGUUUGGGUGCCAUAUUAAUUCCUUUAAGGAGUUUACGGACCAAGGACCAUAUACCCUUGGAUUUUACGGCCGUAAACUCCCUUGGGAGGGUUUUGAUGGUGUUUUCAAGUCUCUAAAUUAACUAGGAACUAAUCUUGGCUUUUGUACUUGGCUUUAGAAGAGUUUAUGGCACCAUUUGGCUCCAUUUUAUCGAUUUCACGGUCCUAGAACCUUUUGGGCCGUAAACUCCCUUACUCUUGGUGUUCUAAGUGUGUUAGCUAGUCCAAAACUCAUUUAGGUACAUGCCCAAAUUGGUCUCUUGGUUUAAGGAAGGUGUUAGGCUGUCAUUUGGCCCCUUUAUAGGUGUUUACGGCCCAAGAACUUGUCUUGGCCGUAAACUCCUCAACACUUGUGCUUCCAUAUGUUUUCUAGCUUCUAAACACUUUAGGGUACACGUCUAAAAUAAAGUCUAAGCCUUGGGUGCCUUAAAAGCACCAUUUAGAGCAUGUUCUUUGGAGUUUACGGCCUAAGAUAUUCUUGGGCCGUGAACUCCCAAACUUGGGUGAUUCUAGCUUGAUUUCAUGUUCCUAAUACACUUCUAUACAAGUCUAAGGUAGUAGUACAUCACGGGGGACAAUCUAGGCUUGGUUUCGGGAGUUUACUGCCCAAGAACACCUUGGGGAGUAAACUCCUAAAUCGGAUGAUUUAGCUAUGUAAUCUGUGUUAUGAACACAGUUAAAGCUUUCUAACACUACUAGAAAGAGUUACUCACAAUUUGGGAUAAAAACCCGAAGACCCGUGAGAGAUAAUUUUGACUUUUCUCUAAAUGGAAUUCAACAAAUGAACCAAUUUGGUUCAGAAUUCUAUUUAUAGUCCUGAGAUAUUUUUGGCAGAAAAUAUUUUUAUUCCUGGAACGAACUCUAAUGUCCUAGAGUCUUGGAAUAACAGUGUUGCACAAAACCCUAGUGCAUCCACUCUCCUAAUAUCUCCUUAAGUGUAAAAUCCUGAAAACUGCCAAACUUAUACUCGAAGUCUGAAUUUUCACUGUAACUGUUCUACUUCUAUUGGCUUGAUAUGGUUUGUUCAGAAUGGAAAUUUCGGGUUGUCACANAAUAGGUUACAAAAUAAAGAGACUUUUUCUCAUUAAAUUGUUUUAUGACUCCAUAACUUGUCCUCAAGUUAUGGAUGUUCAAUAGUCUCUUCAUUAAAGUUUUUAAAAAAUUAAUUAUACUCAUAAGUUAUGAAAAUCCAAUAGUUUUGAAUAGUUUCAAAACUUUCCCUCAAGUUUUGGAAUUUGUAAAUUUUUCCCAAGAAUACUUUAAUUCCAAGUUAAGCCCUUAGAAUUUUAAUAAUUAAAAUUCAACCAUUAUACUUUAUAAUAUUAUAACUUAAUAAUAUUUAUAUAUAUGUAUAAGAGUAAAGUCAGUCUUACCGUUAGUAGGCCUCAUUCACGAAGCNCUAUAAGGGGGCUAUAAGGUUACUGCCUAUAAAAUGGCAGUUUAAUGGGUGUCCACUCUCACCCACCACUGGGUAGGACAAGGACUACAAUUCUCUGUUCAUUAAAAGUAUUAAUGAUAAAUACUAAGUAACUAAACUCUUAGAAAUUCCCAAUCUUAGUUACUUAGGAAAAUGUGAAUAAUGUGCUAAUCCAUGAAAUUAGACUUUGCAAUUUGGUUAAACGGUUAGUGGAGCGUGUGUGGUUAACCGGCACACUAACCUUGACUUAACAAGGUAGGCAAAGGGUAACUUAGUAUUUAUCAUAGUAUCGUUGGAGCGAGUGUCGUUAACCGACACAUCGAUUGAGGGGUAAAUAUUAAGGGUACCAAGUAUAUUUGAAUGGUUACUUCACACCUUGUUUUGUGAUCCUCGGCAUCCCAGUCACAAAACUAGAAGCGCAAACUCGAGAUUGAAACAUGCCAUUAAAAAGUUCAAUAAAUCUCAAAAGAUCAAGGAGUUUCAAAGCCAAUUAAAACCUAAUUAAAUAUUGUGUUUAUCUUGGUAGAAAUUGGUGAAUCGUCAUCCACCUACCUUCAAAUAUCUUAUAGCUUGGAUUACGGCAUCCCUCUUCCAAGUUAAAAAAUAUUGUGUUGGGUCAUAGCCUUAACAUUACAUAUUGGGUGUUAUAUUAAGGACUUAAAUCAACUUACUUGAAUUUCUCCCAUUGAGAUGUCAAGUUCAAACAACAAUGAUCUUCCCAAAUUAAGCUUUCUAAUGAAGAUGAUUUCCUAAGUUUGUCUCAUGAAAAUCAUACUUCUCUUCCUCCACCUCCUUCAAUUAUUCUCCUUAUCCCACAAGCUAAAAGACUUGAAAAGUUCACGAUCACUCAAUCCCUACUCACAAUAAAACAUAAAAAUGGAAGUCAUGUGUGCACUCAUGUCUUAGGAGCAAAGUCACAGAUUGUCAGGUUGAGAAUGUUAUGUGUCAUUGUCCUAAGGAUGCUGGCUAAUGACUGGGUCUUUCAGUCACUUCAUGAGUCAUAUAGAAAGAUUACUAUGUGACAGGUCGUGACAUGACCCUAAUAGAUCUUUCUUAUUUGCUUAUUGAUGCUGAAUCAAGAAUGGUUUGAUGCAAUAGUUAAGCAAAUAUGAAUGGAAGGUCUAUUUCUCAAACUUCCAUGGACAUGGAGAAUGGUAACAUUGGAUGUCCAGAAAAGCUUUCUCUUCCCAAUGAAAAGGGAUCGUCCUUGGUCAACCCGGUUAUCUAGAAGGUAAAGAGAAAGUCUAAGUCUGGGAGAGUCCUUUGUACCAUUCCCAAGGAGUCUAUAUGUUUUCAUUGUGAAGAAAAAGGGGCAUUGCAAUCGAAGCUGGCCUAGCUACCUGAAAGAAAGAAGAAUCAAAAGUUUGACUCUGUUUCAGGAAAGUCCACUAUCUUACUCUCUUAAGGUUCAUUUGAAGAUUCUUAAUACAUUUUGAUGUAUGAAAGUAUCAAGCAAAGGGUAGGAAACUUAAAGAAAACAGUAUGCUAAAUCUGAUCGCGUAGAUGAAUUUCUAUCGCAUGCUUUAAAGAUCAUAUUUUUGAGCUAUUUCUUAGGAGUUAUGAUAGAUUGCUAAAAAACUUGAAAUAUCAUAGUUUUCUUUUGAAGUUGCCUUGUAAGGAGAAAAGGUUUUUCCACAUUUUUGAAAAAAUAAAUAAAUUUUUUCUUUAUUUUAUAUCUCCUUACAAUGCAUUCAUGAAAACUUGAUGUUUGUAUGUUUCUAGCAAUAUUGGAAAUAUGAAUUUGAUUCUUUCAUUUGUGGUAGUGCCUAAAUUUAUCAAAUAAGGAAUGAUUCUCACCACCCAAGUUUCAAUUGGACCGAAACUUGGAAUCAUGCAAGUUGUUAAGUAUGAUGAAUGACAGUUUUAAUUUUUGGAAAAUUAUGACUAGUUUCUUGUUCACAUGUAUAUGUGACUCAAGUGAAGGACUAAGGGAUCAUGUACACAUUCUUGUGCACUAGCCAAAGUCCACCACAAAAUAUAAAUGAAAGUACUCAUCAUGAUUUACUAAGAUUUAGUAGAUAUGAUUAUACUUAGAAGCUUAAGUAUAACUCUGAGAUAUUGGGAAAAUUCCAAAUGUAUGGCAGAGUGAAUAAUAAGAAUCAAAUUAAGCAGAAGGAUAAAAGUUUCUCUAAUGUGAAAAGAUGGGAGAGUACUUUAGUAUCAUGAUUUAUGAUCAUCUUAAUGAUUUUGAUACCUUAUCACAAUUCAUCCUCUAAGUGCCUUCUGAUAGCUAAAAAGAGGAGUUAUGAAUUGUUGAUGUGGUUAAAUAUGAAGAGGAUUCAUACUUGGUUCCAAAAAGAAAUCUUAGAAUUAUACUCUAAGAUUGUGACUUGAGUGGCAUGUCUUAAAGAAGGUUUAAAACACUCGUAAGAGUAAAAGUUUUCUACUCUUAUACAUUUGAAGUUGGUAAGUUGUGAUGUUUUGGAUAAAACAAAGACCAAGUAAUGCCAAUUGUGUUAAGUGUUUAUCUUGAUUAGAAUCCACACUAUCUCUUGAAUAAUUGACUAGGAAGUCUUAUAUGUCAUGAAGACAGUGGGAGUAAAAAAGAUCCUGAAAAGGUUUCAAGAACUAAUCAAGAAUAAAACCUGUAUUUCAUCACUAACAUACACCUAGAGAUUUAUAACCUAUCGUGUUGACAUUUAUGUGCCCAUUCCAGUUAAGUUGGCUAUACCUUUGUCUUCUACAUGCUCUCAAAUGUUUGCCUAACUACUUGGAAGCACUGGCAGGCCCUUGUACGGCCAGGUGGCAAGAAGUUUAGAUUGCACAAGUUCAAUCCAUAUGAGUUUGGAUUUGUCACUAACAUGGUCUUGUGAUUAUGGUUUUGACAAAUUCAUGAGGAUAACAACAAAUACACCAUAAAAUCUAAGGGUCAUAAGUUUUCUCUCCGAUUCAUGAAAAUGAUGGUGAGGAAACUCUUCCACCAAGUAGAUUUUAAGUAGAUAGCAAUCUUUGCAUUCUCAAAGUCGUUAAUAGAGCACACUAACAUGGACUUAUGAGAAAUAGAAAAGGUCUAACCAACUGAAUCUAUGAUUACAACAUCCUUUUUAAUAGUUCUUAAAUUGUUUAGACACACCAGUGAGCUAUUUACAAUAAGGUGUAUGAUUUUGAUAAAGUUUUAUCAAAGCAAUCUAGUAUCAAAAAUUUGAACUUUGGUAAGAAAGUCAAUACAGUAUUGAUUUCUAGAAGUCCACAAAUUUCCGAAUACAUGUCAAAGCUAGUGGGAGCAUAAGUAUUAUGCUGAUAAUAAUGAUGUUAGUGGGAGCAUGAUAAUUAUGAUAAGUAUUGCAAGUUAACAAUGUUAAUAAUAGAAAACCAAGUUCAACUCGUGAGGUUGCAAGGGUUGAAAAAGUUGUUUUGCUAUAAGUAAGGGAGAGGAAAUUAUACUUUGUUUCAAUUCUAAAAAGCUUAGAUUGAGAUUUUAAUCAUUUUAGUCAUGAAUAUAUAUAUGAAAUUCGUGUUGGAUUGGUUCAACUUAGGGAAAUUAUAUAUAUUGUGUUCACAAAAUUCGGUUACGAUUACUGCAUCCCUCUUCAUAGUCAAAUUUUGAAACAUGGCAACCAAAAAUUAUUGUAGCAAAAAACUGGUCUAGAAUCAUGUCUUUAUGUGAGACAUCAUGAAUCGUGUCCCGUUUGCUUUGGGUACAAGAUCGAUUGCAUGUGUUAUAAUAUUUAGCCUUUCUAAACUUUCCAAAUUGCUUUGGGAAUUAAGGGGAAAAAAUGUCUAUAAUUGGAUAUGACUAAAGUGAUUAUGCAAUUGUCGAGGCCAAUCUAAGGUUUUACUAAUGACUGGUUGCUCAAGGAUAGUUGGAAGUAUAAUGUUAAUAUUGGAAGGACCAUAUUGACAUAUUCUGGAAAAGAGACAACUCUUGUUCAGAACUAGUAGUCAAAAUAGGAAUAUGGAGUUGUCUCCAUAUGUGGAAGUUAUAUGUGUAAGAUUAGAAAACAUAAUGCAAGAAGGAUAUUCAAAGCAAUGUGAUUUGAGACUUCAUUUCCAUGAAAUUGAUCUCCAUUGGAAUUACAAGAGGGUAUGUGCAUAUAUGUUUAAAAUCUAAACAGAUUUUGGUAAAUGUUAGUGUAACAACCCGAAAAUUCGUAUCAUUGCUUGUAACCCCUUUUUGUAACUCAUUUCGAUAAUCCAAUCGCCGUUUUAAAAUUCGUUUCCGAUUUAGCCAUUUAACUAAGUCAUUAAAUUGUAAUUAUCUAAAAUGACUCAAUGGGUGUCCUAAUACAUUUAGAAAUCAUUCUAACACCCCAUUCUAGUGAUCGGAACAUUUCUAGAAUCAACCAUAUCGGGUUACGGCAACUUGGAAGGUGCGACCAAAAGCCCCGUCUAAAGCCGGUAUCAGGUAGAAUUUCACCGUAUCCAAAUCCCAAACACUAUUUAAAGUGUUCUAAGCCUUCAUUUGAAGCUUUUUCUUCAUCUCACUACUCUCUCUCUAACCUCUCUCCACAACCAAAGAUUUAAGGUCCAAAACAUUGAAUAUAGGCUCCAAAUCUUUGAGGUAACAUCCCCAACUUGUUGUUUAACCUCUUAGGCCUUCAAAUUCGUGUUUAAUUUAUCAUUUUUGACCUGGAACAUGUGUAUAUGGCCAAGGAUCAUGCUUGGGCCGUAAACACAUAAGAACAUGGGUUUUUGAGCAAUUUAACCCUUUCAAACCAUCAUUGGGACUUAGAUAUGACCUUAAGGCUUGCAAAACCGGACUUAGAACACCCUACACAUGGAUUUUGAAGAGUAAACAUGAGUUUACUUCCCAAGAUCAUGCUUGGGCGAUAAACUCCUCAUACAUGGGGAGUAAACUCACUUUUACAUGUUAAAAACCCAUAAAACUCCACCAAUAGCCUUGGAAUAAAUCCUAGAACCAACCAAAAAUUAUUUGGGGACCUUAAAUAUAUCAAAACCCCUUCAAUUGAGAGUUUACGGCCAUAGCAUAUGCUCUAGGGCCGUAAACUCCUAAUUAUGUGUCAUUUGAUGCCCUAAAUUCAUACCAAGGCUUGUAAAAAUUAUUGGGAUCACAUGUGAUAAUCUUGGGACAUUAUAUCACUCAUUCAAGGAGAGUAUAGGAGUUUACGGCCGUAAGCUCCAUGGUAGGGCCGUAAACUCCCUUAAAUAAUGUCAUUGGUGACCCAUUAAGCACCAUAAACCUUGCUAACAUGAGCUCACGGUCGUGAACUCAUGUGUGAGUGGUGUAUAAGGCCGCAAACUCCAUUAGGGGUUUACUCUUGAAGAGAAACUCAAUUCCCAAGUCCCUCGUAUCAUUAUACAUCCGUAGAUGUCACCCGGGUCACUCCAAACACUCGUUUUGAAGUGUUUUCGCUCAUUGGAGUGUAAUAUCACAUCUAAUUAGAGUUUAUAAAUCUAAUUAGAUAUAUUUGUAUACCAUUUCAUGUUACAUAGGAACCUCGUGUGUUAUCAAUCCUCGAUUCGACACUUAGCAUCCGGAACGUCGCAUUUUCUCGUUUGGGGAGUUCAUACCCCUACCCUUUUACAAUGCUUUUUAAAUGUUUUCAGGGGGGAAUAAAAGCAAAAGUACAAGAAUAUAUUGUACCUAAUAACAUUAUUUCAUACAAAUGGUUUCAUAAUUUGUACCUUUUUAAGAAUUGAAAACCUAUUAACAAACUGUUUUAACUUGUAGAGUGCUUGUUCAAACCGAUUUUCAAUUCUUAUUAUAUAUUGUUAUGUUGCAUAUUUCACAAUUGAUUGUUGACACUUAUAAUGAUAUAGAUCAAAAAAAAUUUGUAAUGUCUGUAAUAAAACACCUAGGCUCGAGUGUAAAGGAAAGACACCAUUAGAAAACAUAAAACAUUUGUAAUGUCCAUAAUAAAACACCUAGGCUCGAGUGUAAUGGACAGGCACCAUUAGAACUUAGUUAGUCAUAGAUACUACUUACCUAGACGAGAAGUAAAGAGUAAUCUUAAAGAUUGUAGACACGUCCUCUUUAACACUUCCUUGGCACGAGAGAGUGGAGGACUAACCUUGUAACCAGAAUCUCCAGGAGGGAGAGCGUGACUUGACUUUAUAGAUCUAUACGGGACUGACAAUCCCGCACCUGGCAGCUAGCUACAGCCGAACCGAAAGGUUCAAGGGCGACGAAAGUCAUAAAAAGGAUACUGGCCCUGGCCCGACCCAUAUCUAGUCUGAGUAUGGUUAAGGACUCGCAAUCAAGAUUAUUAACCUUUUACACUUAUUUAUUAGUUUUAUGUACGUAAUAAAACUAAUGUACAUUUAAGGAUAAUCAGACUUUCAGGAGACUUCACACACACACAUUCAGGAAAACAUGGUGUUUUCCUGGGGAUAACAUUGAACAUAAUUGGAACCGGUAACAUAUCGCACGCACAGAAUCGGUAACAGUUCACACACACACAUGUAAGAAAAUAUAGGAUUUUCCUGAGUAACAGUAGUACGUAACCAGAAAAGUGUAACAAGUUAUAUAACUAAACUUAACGAUUCACAAGAACAAUCAUGGUUUUCAAUCUAUAUUUUCAUGUAUAUCAAACUAUCUUGUAUCUAGUUCGGGAUGGUAGUCCCAUGGUAUUCAAUCUAUAUUUUCAUGUAUAUCAAACUAUCUUGUAUCUAUUUCGGGAUGGUAGUCCCAUGGUAUUCAAUCUAUAUUUUCAUGUAUAUCAAACUAUCUUGUAUCUAGUUCGGGAUGGUGGUCCCAUGGUAUUCAAUCUAUAUUUUCACGUAUAUCAAACUAUCUUGUAUCUAGUACGGGAUGAUAGUCCCAUGGUUUUCAAAAUACUUUCCAUCUACAAUUCACGUAUAUCAAAGUAUUUCGUAUCUAAUUCGGGAUAGUAAUCCUAUGAUUCUCAAUACAAAGUUUUGUGUAUUAAAUUGUACUAUGUGAUAUUCAAUCGGUCUUGUAUUUAACGAAAUAUCGGAUUUUCUUGGACAACCACUUUUUCAGGAAACCAAAGGAACUCGUACAUUUUUCACAAAACAAAACCGCUUAUGAAGUCACCAGCUUUAUGCUGAUUUUCAAACCGCUUAUAUUCUCAGGUUCGCAUUAGACAGGUACCCGACGAUCUCUUUUGGCGAAGACGAAGUGCGUAGAAGACUCGUAUCAUUUUGUUCAUAUAUACUAUGUAUCACAUGUAUAACUUAGUAUUGAAAUGAAUAUAAACUUUUAUAUAUGUAAUGUAAUGGUUGUCUACUUUGCUUACUAUGUGCAUUUGAUUUGAUACUCAACAUGGAUUCUGCCCCGGAAAUGUUUCCGCCUUCGGUUUUCGGGGUGUGACAGAUUGGUAUCAGAGCCCUUUUUUAUAGUGAAUAAAGUAUACCAAACCUUACCUGGUAUAAAACUAUAAACAUUAAGGGGCCUAAGUGCUCUGAACUAAAAGUAUCCUUCAAUAUAUAAGUAUUUUCAAAAGUAUAUAAGUAUACCGAACCGUCGAGAUCCGUAACUACAAGUAGAACAAAACAUAAGUAAAUGGGUGUUGUAUACUGCGGUUAAACCUGGGCAGUUAUGUAGUCGUGUCUAGGAUCAAUAUAGCCUGGCCAACUAUAUUCAUUCGAGACACGGACAACAUGUGCUUGGGAGUGACUGUGAUAUGCGGCAUGCCUAAAACUUACCUUAAUACCACAAACAUCGAACUAGUGUCGUAACGAAUCAUGAAAUACUAUGGGAGUAUUUCUCGAGCCAAUCCUUGGUAGAAAUCCUCGUUCAUGCAUUGUUCUUUGAUCAUUCCCUUGGCGAUAAUUUUCCCGCUUUGAUAACUCUUUCCUGCUUUAUCGCUUGUUAGCAUAUAUCUGUCAUAUCUCUUGAUUCAAUUCAGAGGAUUUAUCAUCCUCUCUUCCUUGACCUUAUUAGAUCAAGAUGCCUCCAAGAAAGAGACCCAGCUCCAAGACCAACAACCCUCCGCCACCACCUCCUCCUCAAAUCGACCCUGUAGUAUUCCAGGCAGCUGUUACAGCCGCAGUGGCAGCUGCCAUGUCUCAACGAAACUCUGGCGGUUCCGGUAGUUCGGCAGGUGGUACCCAAACCCAAAACCAAGAAAGCAGUCAGGGACACCGAAAAGAGGGCUCCUAUAAUGAUUUCAUGAACGUAAAACCCACUUUGAUGGCACUGGAGGUGUCAUUUCCCUCACCCGAUGGUUCAAGAAGAUCAAAUCCAUCUUUGAAAUUUGCGCUUGCUCAGAAUCUGACAACGUGAAGUUUGCUGCCUGCACCUUUAUCGACAAAGCCCUGACAUGGUGGAACGGCCGAUUCAAAUCGCUAACCUUACCUGUAGCCAACGCCAUGGGUUGGGAAGCCAUGAAGGAACUUAUGUUGGCUGAGUACUGCCCUCGGGGCGAAAUGCAGAAGUUAGAACACGAACUCUGGAACCUGAAGAUGAAAGGUUCCGAUAUCAUCGCUUAAACUUCCAGGUUCGACAACUUGGCAUUACUCUGCCCCGGGAAUGGUUACCCCGGAGAGUAAGAAGAUAGAUAAAUUCAUCUGGGGCUAACCCAGGCAACGAAAGGAAACGUCAUAGCUGCGAGGCCAGAUACAUACGACAGCGCCAAACGCUUAGCACAAAUCUUAAUAGAUCAUAUUGAUGACCCUGAGGAGACAACUACCACUCCUGAGCCGACGGAGAGGGGUGGUGAGAAAAUAAUGAUUGGGAAGAAGGAGAAAAGUCAGACACCGCAAGAGUAUUCGAAGAGAAAGCAAACGAUGGCAGUUCAUGCUGCCACUUCUCCUGCAACUGUUUCUAUUGUUGGAUCCUCAACUCGGAAACCUGCCAAAAGGUAUGCUGGAACCCUUCCAAGUUAUGACAAGUGCAACUAUCAUCACCUUCCUUCCGGUCCAUGUAUAGAGGUAUUUUGCAACAGUUGUCGCAUAAAGGGUCACAUGGCGAAAAACUGUAAGACACCAACCCAAUCAACCAGUCAAGCUUCCGGAGCGGACAUUGGUCGGGCCUGCUAUGGUUGUGGAGAAGUCGGACAUUACAAGCGAAACUUCCCCAAGACAGUAACAUCUGGCAACACCGGAAGAGUUCUAGCAAUAGGACAAGAGGAGACAGCCACCGAUCCCACCGUUGCCAUAGGUAUAUUCCCCUCGUUAAAUUUUAUGCCUGUGAUUCUUUUCGAUUCUAGCACCGAAAGAAAUUCACUAACCAUCCAUUUGAACAUCUUUUAAACCCUGUCGUUUGUGAGUAAUCGAAAAUGUAUACCGUCGAGAUGGUUAUCUAGUGAGAAUGGGAACGCUAACGUCAUAUCUGUAGAUUCUAUCCUCAAUUCGAACAAUUAGUCUUUUCCGUUCGAUCUUGUAACAACCCGUCAUUUCAGGUCAUUAAAAAUCAAGUCUUGUAACCUCUUGGAAAAAGUAAUUGGAAUACCAUCGAAAAAUAAAGUAUUCAAAAGCUCUGGUUGGAGUAUGCUAUUUAGUAGAUAUCGUCUUAAGAUUUCCAAGCAUAUAAAGAACACUAAAAUCGAGCUAUAACGAAGAAGUUAUGACCAUUCUAAGUUUUCCGACAAAAACCGGCAAUACGAAGUUACGUAAAAACGCAAAGUAUCAAUAAAAUACUGUUUGACCUUAGGUGUCUAAAUGAAAGUCAUAGAUAUCGUUAAACUGCAAAAGUACAUAAAAAGAACGCCCAAAUCCGACUUCGUAAAUUGAAUUUAUGAUUUUUUUUUAGUUCGGCUUAGCAGCAGGCAGCUAAAAACUCCAAUCGGAGACCGAGCGACUUUUGGCCGGAAUGACGUAAAUGAGAAUCGAAGGUCUCGACAAUGGUAAUUCUACCGUAAAAAGUCUGGCAAAAACCGACGUCAGAUAAAAAAGUUGUGAAUUUCUAAAGAAAUUUCUUAAACACGGCCUUUUAAAAAUAAAUAAUAAAAAUAAUUUCGGAAAUUGUCGAUGGAAUCUAAACAAAAGUUGUAGAUCUUAGUCUAACCUACGCGUGCAUAUAAAGAACGUCGAAAACGAAGUUCGUAUGAAGGAGAUAUGAAUUUUUGUAGUUCAAUAAAUAAUUAAUAUAUAUUUUUUAUUUUAAACUCUUGGUAAUAUCCGAAGAGGAGUCAACAAAUGGAACCGAGGUACGCCCUGCGUACCCUCGUACGCCCCGCGUACUCAAAUCAAGGUCCUCGGUUCGACCACGUCGCCUCCUAUGCGAGUUAUGCCCCGUCCCAUCCGAGCUCCGGGGCAGUCGAGGACUCGGUCAUGCAUGACGCACAGGUACGCCCCGCGUACCGAGACCUCUCAGCCCCUAUAAAAGGGAUGCGAGGGUUCCGGGAAAACUUGCACAUUUCCUCUCGUUUCUCUUGCGUUUUGCCUCGUUUUUCGUGCCCGUGCUAACCCGAAGCCCUGGUCAUUUUGCCCAAGUACCGAAGAUCGUUUUUACUCCCGAGAUUCCCGAGAAUCCUGAGAAAAAUCCGUUGCCCGAGACGAAAUUCUGCCCGGUUUCCAUCUCACUUUCUUCACACCUUCAGGUGAGUUCAUACCCCUACAAACACAUUUUUUAAAUACAUUUUAAAUGCUUUUUAUACUCUUUUAAGGGGGGGGAAUACAAGUAAACAUACGGUUAUUAUCAUGUAUUUUAUAAAGUUUCACUGUACUCGUUUUUAUCAAAUGAAUCACUUGUGAUUCACUACUACUACGUGAAAACUCUUGUCACAUUUCGCAUGCACUAGAUUUAUACGAAGUAUUUAGCAAUCCCAAAGCAUCCUUCGUUGCUAAACCGUUUAAAUACAUUUUAAAAACUUAUGAUGUAUGCAUUGUUGAACAUUGUGAAAAAGGAUAAACUUUUCAUACGAAACUACUACUUUAAUACAAACUUAGUUGAGAAUCCGUGAGACGUGUACAUCUUCAAAUAAUACCUUUUUGCUAAAAGGUACCGCUUCAAGUCCUGUCUAUAACCAGAGUCUCCCGUUCGGAGAACGUGUCAAAUGUGUAUAGAUCUAUACGGGAAGUCAUGAUCCCGCGCCCUGACUGUUAGCUACAGUCCGUCCUUUGGGGUGACAGUUUGUCAUAACGCUACGACGCCUGAAGAACGUCGCUACAGGCAUAUUAUGUUUAGUAUGGUUAUAAAACUCAUCGGAUAUACAAUUAUUAUAGUACUUCUGAUUGAUGAAUGAGUAGUUAUUAAAACUAUUCUUCAUCUAACAAACUGAAAUCUUCUAGUAGGUUUUAUUAUAUAAAUCUAUGCUCUAACUCCCUAAGGCAUGUCUUUUGCUUUCGGUUUUUAGUCUGGGACAUUAGGCUAACUAUCACUUUAGGAAAAUAUGGGAUUCUCCCGGUAUACAAACCAAACAACUAAUAGGAAAAUAAGGUAUUUUCUUGAUUCAACUAUCUACAUUAUUUAAUACAAAUAUUCUCAUGCAUUUCACACUUUUAUUAGAAAAUAAGGGAUUUUCUUGGAAAACAUACUCUCAAUUUGGAAUGGCAUACAAAUUUUCUAAACCACUUAUGAACUCACCAACUUAAUUGUUGACACUUUCUCUUUGAAAUAACUUGUAUUCUCAGGGAACCGCUAAGCAGGUUUGGAAAUCAACUUUUGGGGAUUAACGCGCUGGCGUUAAUUACUUCUUUUGAAAGAUGUUUAUGUAUUUAUCUUUUGAACAUGUAAUGAAUACAAUUAUGUAAACAUUUUUAAAACCUUUUUAUAUGUAUGGUGGUGUGUACUUUCCUUUCUAUGAACUGUUAUGAUACUGAAUAUGACGUCCUCCGCCCCCGAACGUUUCCGCCGUUCUGGUUUGGGGGUGUGACAGAUUGGUAUCAGAGCAUUGUUUAUAGUGAAUUAAGUAUAUCAAAACCAUUUUUGGUAUACAACUAUAAACUCAACUGGGCAAAAACACUCUGAGAAGAGUCAUACUUUUGAAAUUAAAUUUAUUUAGUUUUUGUAAAGUAAGCAUGCAUUCAUUUCGUACUAAUAACAGUUUCACAUCGGACCAUUUUAGAAGUAUUAUAAAUAAGUUGUGCAGUGCAGGUACGCCUUGGGACAUGUAAUUGGAACUGGGAAGAAUAUAGCCUGAUCAACUAUAUUUGUCCGAGAGCCGACUAACGUGUGCCAAGGAGUGUCUGCAGUGGACAACAAAUUUAAAAUUUAUCAAAAAGCAUAUCGUUAAAUAAUACUAAGGGAGUAUUUGAGUAUCAACAACCGUUAAACUUAAGGGUAAAUUUCAUGUACUCUAUCUUAUAGUAAAUUCUUAACCCUAUUCUCGUACAGACUCAAUGGUUGGAUUCCACCACCCCAAUGACCCCUACUACCCCAAACAAGGUAAUGGAGGAUGGAUCGAAGAAGAUCCCGAAGAAGACGAAGAACCUAUAGAGUUGGAUGAAGGAGAUGACUCUGGUACAGAUUCAGAGCCAGAGGUUAUCAAUCCACCGGCCCCACAACCUCCCGUCCAUGUGAGGAACUUCCAAGGACCCACUCCUGUGUGGGGGAGUCACCUCCACCAUUGGAGCCAACAACAAAGCUUACGCCCUCCCUACGGCAUGUGCCGAGACUUUUAUGAUGUCAGGGGCGGGGGAUCGGCGGACCGAGCACUUCCGGUCAUGGUUGGCAAACUAGCCAACCAGCGCUAUCAAUCCGGAGUUCAAGCCAACCGGAUCCGCGAAAUCAACGUAGAAGUGCCGGUUCACACUUCUGACAUCUGUAGGCUGGAUGGGAUUCUGGACCAUGCCCAACUCCAAACUGAGGCAUUUCAGGCGCAAAUGAUUGCAGCCCUAGCCGAAUUAAGGGAACAACAAGCCGCUUUUGAUAGGCGUCUAAUGGAGUCGAAGCAAUCGGAUGCGGAGUCAAGCUCCAAGCGUAACCGACGUCGCAAGUAGUGCUUGCCAAAAUUUCAAAUUUUGUUAUAAAUUAGGACUUCGGAUAAAAUUAUUACUUUCUUUAAACUUUCUGUAAUCGGAGACCUUUAGAAAUGUCAAAAAUUUUGUCUAAACUCGGAUGUAACACAACUAUACGUUUAAAAUAUAUAUGGAAAACCUCUUUUCUGUUUUGAUUAUGUACAAUUCGUCAAAUUCAUAAGUACAUCUAUUUAAACUUCAUUUAUAAAUCAGACUCAGAACCCUGUGUUGGCCAAACCAAAUCCUUAAACUAUUAAAGGAAGUUAACUCAAUAUCAUUCAACUUGCAAUCACCAAAACUUAUAAUCUCUCAUUUUCUUUUGGCAGCGCAAUGCCUCCCCGUCCAAACCUGAGGCCCAGACCGGGCACGGUGCCACUACCACCUCCACCACCAACGUAUGAUCCGGCCAUGGUCCAGACGGCUAUCACAGCAGCAGUAACAGCAGCUUUCUCACAAAUAAACUCCAAUGCAAAUGGAGGUACAGGAAGCAGCACAAAUCAUUCAAAUCAUGGCACCGGCCGUGCUCAAGUGAGGGAGUGUACCUACAAGGAGUUCUCCAACUCAAAGCCAAAGACUUUUAAUGGCAUGGGAGGAGUCAUUGCACUAAUGCAAUGGUUCGAAUAGACCGAAACAGUCUUCGAGAUCUGCUCGUGCCAAGAAACAAGCAAGGUCAAGUUCGCUGUUUGCACCUUCAUAGAUCGCGCCCUCACUUGGUGGAAAAGCCAUGUGAAUUUGGUGACACUCACUAUCGCCAACGCCAUGAGUUGGGAAGAUCUGAAGGUUCUACUACUGGAAGAAUACUGCCCAAGGGGCGAAGUGCAAAAGCUUGAGCAGGAGCUCUGGAAUCUGAAAAUGACUGGAUCUGAUCUAGUCACCUACACAGCUAGGUUCAAUGACCUCGCUGCAUUAUGCCCUACCAUGGUCAACCCAGAAUCAAAGAAGAUUGAAAGGUACAUUUGGGGGUUGUCACCCCAGAUUCAAGGGCAUGUCCUAGCUUCCAACCCUAUCACCUACAACAGCGCUAAACGCCUGGCUCAGCGACUCAUCAACCACGGGGUAAAACAGGGUACCAUUGCAACUACUGCCAAUCUAUCUAAGGAGAAACAGGGCCAGAAUAGGCCUUGGAACAAGAGAAGGGGGCAAACCCUACAAGAGAACCCCAAGAAACAACAAGUAGUAGCGAUCCACGCUAUUACUGUACCUACCAAUACUGCCCCCACAAGCUCAUACAAUGGGAAACUUCCGAAAUGCAACCAAUGCAACUUCCACCACCACGGUCUCUGCCGUGACCUUCAAUGCACCAGGUGCAAUAAGAAGGGACAUACAGCCCGCUAUUGCAAAGAGCCAACCCAACAACCCGCCCCCACUACUAAUACCGGAGUAAGUCGCGCCUGCUUUGAGUGCGGAGACACGGGGCACUACCGCAGGGACUGCCCGAAGGCAAACAACAGGAAUACCGGCGGAAGGGGCCGAGUAUUCGCAAUGGGACAAGAUGAAGCCGUUGCGGACCCCACUGUUGUUACGGGUACGUUUCUUCUCGAUAACUCGUAUGCAUGCAUUUUGUUUGAUAGUGGAGCGGAGAGAAGUUUUGUGAGUCACGAUUUUAAAGGCCUGCUAAAGCCAUUACCACAAUCAUUAAGUGAACCGUUUAUAGUAGAAAUGGCCAACGGUAAAACCGAAGGCACCAAGGAGAUAUACUUAAACUGUACUCUAACUCUAAACGAUAAUCCCUUUCCAAUCAGCCUCAUGCCAGUCUCGAUUAAGAGUUUCGAUGUCAUCAUUGGCAUGGAUUGGCUGAGUUCUCAUCAUGCAGACAUUUUAUGUUACGAUAAGGCCGUUCGUCUUAAUCUGCCAACCGGCGAAACUUUCAUUGUCUUGGGCGACAAACCCAGUACCACUCUUCGUAUCAUCUCAUGUAUCCAAGCUCAGAAGUGCCUACGCAAAGAGUGUCACGCGUUUUUGGCACAUGUUGUAGAUGUGAAACGCGAAGUCCAGGACGUCAAGAAUGUGCCCGACGUAUGCGAUUUUCCCGACGUUUUUCCCGAGGACCUUCCAGGAAUACCACCCGCGAGACAAGUCGAGUUCAGAAUCGAUCUGGUUCCCGGAGCUACCCCAGUAGCCAAAGCACCCUAUCGAUUAGCCCCGGCAGAGAUGCAGGAGCUAUCCAGCCAACUGAAUGAACUACUUGGAAAAGGAUUCAUCAGGCCGAGCUUCUCGCCAUGGGGAGCACCCGUCUUGUUCGUGAAAAAGAAGGAUGGAUCAUUCAGGAUGUGCAUCGACUACCGAGAACUCAACAAACUUACCAUCAAGAACCGAUACCCCCUACCCCGAAUCGACGACUUAUUCGACCAACUCCAAGGAGCCAACUACUUCUCCAAGAUCGAUCUGAGGUCGGGAUAUCACCAGCUGCGAGUCCUGGAGAGCGAUGUUCCCAAGACGGCCUUCCGAACGAGAUACGGACAUUACGAGUUCGUAGUGAUGCCGUUCGGACUAACCAAUGCCCCGGCCGUAUUCAUGGAUCUAAUGAAUCGGGUAUGUCGUCCAUUCUUGGAUAAAUUUGUGAUCGUAUUCAUAGACGAUAUACUCAUUUAUUCAAAGAAUAAAGAAGAGCAUAGUCAACAUCUGAGACAAGUCUUAGAGACGUUACGGACUGAGAGAAUUUAUGAAAAAUUCUCAAAGUGUGAGUUUUGGAUUAGAAAAGUGGACUUCCUCGGUCACGUAGUCAGCAUGGAAGGAAUCCACGUGGACCCAUAAAAAAUCAAGGCUAUCAAAAGCUGGUCUGCCCCAACUACUCCAACAGAGAUUCGCCAAUUUCUAGGUCUUGCUGGUUAUUAUCGAAGGUUCAUUCAGAAUUUCUCCAGCAUCGAAAAACCUCUUACCGCUUUAACCCAGAAAGGUGUGACCUACAACUGGGGAGAAAAGCAAGAUACUGCAUUUCAGACUUUGAAACAGGCCCUUUGCAGUGCACCCAUCCUUUCUCUUCCAGAGGGGACCGAAGAUUUUGUGGUGUAUUGCGACGCUUCGAAGCAAGGACUGGGCUGUGUGCUAAUGCAGAGGGGAAAGGUUAUUGCAUAUGCCUCACGACAACUGAAAACGCAUGAGGUCAAUUACACCACUCAUGACUUAGAACUUGGAGCGGUGGUCUUCGCUCUUAAAAUCUGGAGGCACUACCUAUACGGUACCAAGUGCACUAUCUUUACAGACCACAAGAGCCUCCAACACAUCUUCGACCAGAAAGAGUUAAACAUGAGACAGCGACGUUGGGUCGAAUUGCUCAACGACUACGAAUGUGAGAUUCGCUAUCAUCCGGGAAAGGCAAACGUCGUGGCCGAUGCCCUUAGUCGUAAGGAGUACUCUGGCCGAAGAGUGAAGUCAUUAGCCAUGUCGAUCCAUUCGCACCUGUCAGCACAAGUCAAGGAAGCUCAAAUAGAGGCCUUGAAACCCGAAAACGUGACAGGUGAGACCCUUAGAGGAAUGGACAAGAACUUAGAAAUCAAGAGUGACGGAGCACGCUACUUCAUGAACCGAAUCUGGACACCCAAGUUUGGUGGAUUCAGAGAGGUAGUUAUGAGCGAGGCACACAAGACUCCAUAGUCCGUACACCCAGGGUCAGACAAGAUGUAUCUAGAUCUCAAGCAACUCUACUGGUGGCCAAACAUGAAACCGGAGAUUGCUACCUAUGUGAGCAAGUGUUCGACUUGCGCCAAGAUAAAAAUAGAACUCCAGAAACCCUCAGGCCUACUCCAACAACCUGAAAUACCUGAGUAGAAAUGGGAGAAGAUUUCCAUGGACUUUAUAACGAAACUGCCCAAAAAUCAGGGUGGCCAAGAUACUAUUUGGGUGAUCGUCAACAGACUAACCAAGUCCGCUCAUUUCUUACUGAUCAAGGAAACUGAUAAGAUGGAAAAACUAUCAAGAACCUACAUCCGGGAGAUCGUACGACUUCAUGGAGUGCCGAUGUCCAUCAUCUCAGAUAGAGACAGCAAAUUGACUUCCAGAUUCUGGCAAUCAUUGCAAAAAUCCAUGGGAACAAGGUUGCAUAUGAGUACAGCAUACCACCCACAAACUGAUGGACAGAGUGUGAGAACAAUCCAAACCUUGGAAGACAUGUUGCGAGCAUGUGUAAUCGACUUUGGUAAAGCAUGGGAUGUUCACUUACCUUUAGUCGAGUUUGUUAUAACAAUAGUUAUCAUACUAGUAUCAAGAUUGCUCCAUUUGAAGCCCUUUACGACCGUAAGUGCAGAUCACCUCUGUGCUGGACAGAAGUGGGCGACACGCAAUUGGCAAAAGGUCUAGUCCCAGAUAGCACCGUCACCUGGUCCGGAGAUCAUCAGAGAAACAACUGAAAAAAUCGUGCAAAUACGAGAACGACUGAAAUCCUCAAGGGAUAGGCAANNNNNNNNNNNNNNNNNNNNNNNNNNNNNNNNNNNNNNNNNNNNNNNNNNNNNNNNNNNNNNNNNNNNNNNNNNNNNNNNNNNNNNNNNNNNNNNNNNNNUUACCAAUUAUAGUUAUGGACUUAGACAUUAAUCCAACACAUUGGACCCUUCAAAAUCAUUUAAAGAGUUGGUCCAGUGGCCUACAAACUCCAACUUCCAAUCGAGCUUAACAAAGUACAUCCAGUAUUCCACGUGUCGAACCUGAAAAAGUGUUUGUCCGACGAAACACUAGUAAUUCCACUCGAUGAAAUCGAACUAAAUGAAAAUCUUAAAUUUGUGGAAGAACCCGACGAGAUCAUGGAUAGGGAAGUUAAGCGAACUAAACAGAGUCGCAUUCCAAUAGUAAAGGUCCGAUAGAAUGCUAAGAGGGGACCUGAGUUCACGUGGGAACGAGAAGAUCAAAUGCAUCAAAAGUAUCCACACCUCUUCCUCAGCCCAUAAAACUUUUCUUUUGUAUUAAAAUUUCGGGGCGAAAUUCCCUCUAACGGGGGGAUGAUGUAACAACCCGUCAUUUCAAGUCAUUGAAAAUCGAGUCUUGUAACCUCUUGGAAAAAGUAAUUGGGAUACCAUCAAAAAAUGAAGUAUUCAAAAGCUCUGGUUGGAGUACGCUAUGUAGUAGAUAUCGUCUUAAGAUUUCCAAGCAUAUAAAGAACACUAAAAUCCGAGUUAUAACGAAGAAGUUAUGACCAUUCUAAGUUUUCCGACAAAAACCGGCAAUACGAAGUUACGUAAAAACGCAAAGUUUCAAUAAAAUACUUUUUGACCUUAGGUGUCUAAAUGAAAGUCAUAGAUAUCGUUAAACUGCAAAAGUACAUAAAAAGAACGCCCAAAUCCGACUUCGUAAAUUGAAUUUAUGAUUUUUUUUAAGUUCGGCUUAGCAGCAGGCAGCUAAAAACUCGAAUCGGAGAUCGAGCGACUUUUGGCCGGAAUGACCUAAACGAGAAUCGAAGGUCUCGACAAUGGUAAUUCAGCGGUAAAAAGUCUGGCAAAAACCGACGUCAGAUAAAGAAGUUAUGAAUUUCUAAAGAAAUUCCUUAAACACGACCUUUUAAAAAUAAAUAAUAAAAAUAAUUUCGGAAUUUGCCGACGGAAUCUAAACGAAAGUUGUAGAUCUUAGUCUCACCUACGCGUGGAUAUAAAGAACGUCGAAAACGGAGUUCGUAUGAAGGAGAUAUGAAUUUUUGAAGUUUAAUAAAUAAUUAAUAUAUAUUUUUAAUUUUAAACUCUUGGUAAUAUCCGAAGAGGAGUCAGCAGAUGGAACCGAGGUACGCCCUGCGUACCCUCGUACGCCCCGCGUACUCAAAUCAAGGGCCUCGGUUCGACCACGUCGCCUCCUAUGCGAGCUAUGCCCCGUCCCAUCCGAGCUCCGGGGCAGUCAAGGACUCGGUCAUGCAUGACGCACGGGUACGCCCCGCGUACGCCCGUACGCCCCGCGUACCGAGGCCUCUCAGCCCCUAUAAAAGGGAUGCGAGGGUUCCGGGAAAACUUGCUCAUUUCCUCUCGUUUCUCUUGCGUUUUGCCUCGUUUUCCAUGCCCGUGCUAACCCGAAGCCCUGGUCAUUUUACCCAAGUCCCGAAGAUCGUUUUUACUCCCGAGAUUCCCGAGAAUCCCGAGAAAAAUUCGUUGCCCGAGACGAAAUUUUGCCCGGUUUCCAUCUCGCUUUCUUCACACCUUUAGGUGAGUUCAUACCCCUACAAACAAAUUUUUUAAAUACAUUUUAAAUGCUUUUUAUACUCUUUUAAGGGGGGGGGGGAAUACAAGAAAACAUACGGUUAUUAUCGUGUAUUUCAUAAAGUUUCACUGUACUCGUUUUUAUCAAAUGAAUCACUUGUGAUUCACUACUACUAUGUGAAAACUCUUGUCACCUUUUUGCAUGCACUAGAUUUAUACAAAGUAUUUACCAAUUCCAAAGCAUCCUUGGUUGCUAAACCGUUUUAAUACAUUUUAAAAACCUAUGAUUUAUGCAUUGUCGAACAUUGUGAAAAAGGAUAAACUUUGCAUACGAAACUACUACUCUAAUACAGACUUAGUUGAGAAUCCGUGAGACGUGUAUAUCUUCAAAUAAUACCUUUUUGCUAAAAGGUACCGCUUCAAGUCCUGUCUAUAACCAGAGUCUCCCGUUCGGAGAACGUGUCAAAUGUGUAUAGAUCUAUACGGGAAGUCAUGAUCCCGCGCCCUGACUAUUAGCUACAGUCCGUCCUUUGGGGUGACAGUUUGUCAUAACGCUACGACGCCUGAAGAACGUCGCUACAGGCAUAUUAUGUUUAGUAUGGUUAUAAAACUCAUCAGAUAUACAAUUAUUAUAGUACUUCUGAUUGAUGAAUGAGUAGUUAUUAAAACUAUUCUUCAUCUAACAAACUGAAAUCUUCUAAUAGGUUUUAUUAUAUAAAUCUAUGCUCUAACUCCCUAAGGCAUGUCUUUUGCUUUCGGUUUUUAGUCUGGGACAUUAGGCUAACUAUCACUUUAGGAAAAUAUGGGAUUUUCCCGGUAUACAAACCAAACAACUAAUAGGAAAAUAAGGGAUUUUCUUGAUUCAACUAUCUACAUUAUUCAAUACAAAUAUUCUCAUGCAUUUCACACUUUUAUAAGAAAAUAAGGGAUUUUCUUGGAAAACAAACCCUCAAUAUGAAAUAACUUGUAUUGUCAGGGAACCGCUAAGCAGGUUUGGAAAUCAACUUUUAGGGAUUAACGCGCUGGCAUUAAUUACUUCUUUUGAAAGAUGUUUAUGUAUUUAUCUUUUGAACAUGUAAUGAAUACAAUUAUGUAAACAUUUUUAAAACCUUUUUAUAUGUAUGGUGGUGUGUACUUUCCUUUCUAUGUACUGUUAUGAUACUGAAUAUGACAUCCUCCGCCCCCGAACGUUUCCGCCGUUCUGGUUUGGGGUGUGACAGAUCUAAUGUCAAACUAUUCAUGAAAUGCUUUGAUGUCAUCUUUAGCAUGUAAUGACCGAGCCUCAUUCAUGUUGUUAUUCCUAGUUUCGAGAAAGCCAUACGUCUUAACCUACCUUCGACCCGACUCUCAUGAUAUUCGUGCAUCAAAGUUUAAAAAGUUUUCCCAUGUGUUCGUCGUCCACGUAAUCAUCGAGAAUCGAGAAGUCUACAACUCUUUCCCCGAUGUCUUUUCCGAAGAAUUCUUGAGAAUUCUUUCCGAACGUGUAGUCAAUUCUCGCAUCGACCUAAUCCCCAAAAUUACCACGUAGCCAAAACCUCAGAGAAGACGAUGUAUCCAAGGCAGCAACCAAGGCUUAAUAUGAUCACUACGAGAUAGUAGUGGUGCCCUUCGGUCAAACUAUUUUCUUGGUUAUAAAGAUAAGCAAAGCAGUCAUACUCAUGGACCUUUCCAAAAGAUUAGGCAAUAAAGAAUUAGUCAGCACCGGAGGUACCCAUAGAAACCCAUCAACUCUUGGGUCCCGCCGACUAUUAUUGCAAACCCGUAUAGAAAUUUCCUUUAGAACCAUCAGACCCUUAGUUACUCUGCCACGUGAAAAUGUACCCACUUGUUGUGAGUUUUACUUUGGAAAGACAUAGUACGCCUUGGGAAGUAUGGAAAACGUGACUCGUAGAACAUUAGACCCUUCGAGAUCCUCAUUAGGAAUCAAUUCCGUAGCCCUCUUCGAUUUAACUUCAUAAUUCAGCAGCAACCAUCUGAUAUUCCACAUCUUUGUUCGUAAGGAGUGUUGACCUGACGAAACCAUAAAAAUCCCUUGAUGAGAUCGAAAUCAACGGAAGUCCGAACCUUCAUGGAUGAAUCAAUUGAGUUCAUGCAUUGAUAGGUUGACCGUUCGAAACAAAGCCUCAUCCUGACAGUGUGGGUUCACUGGAAUGUAAAGCAGGGACCCGAUUCCACUUAGGAGCGUGAAGACCCGAAGCAGUAGCUUCAUCCUCAUAUCUCUUUUCACUUCGCGAUCUGUGUUCAAAAACUUGAAUUUUGGGAUGAAAUUCCCUUUAACGGGGGGACAAUGUAACAACCCAAAAAUUCGUAUCAUUGCUUGUAACCCCUUUUUGUAACUCAUUUCGAUAAUCCAAUCGCCGUUUUCAAAUUUGUUUCCGAUUUUGCCAUUUAAUUAAGUCAUUAAAUUGUAAUUAUCUAAAAUGACUUAAUGGGUGUCCUAAUGCAUUUAUAAAUCAUUCUUACACCCCAUUCUAGUGAUCGGAACAUUUCUAGAAUCAACCAUAUCGGGUUACGGCAACUUGGCCAGGUGCGACCAAAAGCCCCGUCUAAAGCCGGUAUCGAGUAGAAUUUCAUCGUGUCCAAAUCCCGAACACUAUUUAAAAUGUUCUAAGCCUUCAUUUGAAGCUUUUGCUUCAUCUCACUACUCUCUCUCUAACCUCUCUCCUCAACCAAAGAUUCAGGGUCCAAAACAUUGAAUUAAGGCUCCAAAUCUUUGAGGUAACAUCCCCAACUUGUUGUUUAACCUCUUAGGCCUUCAAAUUCGUGUUUAAUUUAUAAUUUAGGACAUGGAACAUGUGUUUACGGCCAAGGAGCAUGCUUGGGCCAUAAACACAUAAAAAUAUGGGUUUUUGAGCAAUUUAACCCUUUGAAACCGUCAUUGGGACUUAGAUAUGGCCUUAAGGCUUGCAAAACCGGACUUAGAACACCCUAGACAUGGAUUUUGAAGAGUAAACAUGAGUUUACUGCCAAAGAUCAUGCUUGGGCCGUAAACUCCUCAUACAUGGGGAGUAAACUCACUUUUACAUGUUAAAAACCCAUAAAACUCCACCAAUAGCCUUGGAAUAAAUCCUAGAACCAACCAUAUCAAAAACCCUUCAAUUGAGAGUUUACGACCAUAGCAUAUGCUCCAGGGCCAUAAACUCCUAAUUGUGUGUCAUUUGAUGCCCAAAAUUCAUACCAAGGCUUGUAUAAAUUAUUGGGAUCACAUAUGAUAAUCUUGGGAGAUUAAAUCAUACAUUCAAGGAGAGUAUAAGAGUUUACAGCCGUAAGCUCCAUGCUAGGGCCGUAAACUCCCUUAAAUAAUGUCAUUAGUGAUUUAAAUUCUAUCCCAUGCCUUAGGUAAAAUUGUACCAACUCCUUCCAAGUGUUAUUGACCCAUUAAGCACCAUAAACCUUGCCAACAUGAGUUUACGGCCGUGAACUCAUGUGUGAGUGGUGUAUAAGGCCGCAAACUCCAUUAGGAGUUUACUCUUGAAGAGUAAACUCAAUUCCCAAGUCCCUCGUAUCAUUACACGUCCGUAGAUGUCACUCGGGUCACUCCAAACACUUGUUUGGAAGUGUUUUCGCUAAUUGGAGUGUAAUAUCAUAUCUAAUUAGAGUUUAUAAAUGUAAUUAGAUAUAUUUGUAUACCAUUUCAUAUUACAUAGGAACCUCGCAUGUUAUCAAGCCUCGAUUCGACACUUAGCAUUCUAAACGUCGCAUUUUCUCGUUUGGUGAGUUCAUACCCCUACCCUUUUUCAAUGGUUUUUAAAUGUUUUCAGGGGGGAAUACAAGCAAAAGUACAAGAAUAUAUUGUACUUAAAUACAUUAUUUCAUUUAAAGGGUUUCAUAAUUCGUACCUUUUUAAGAAUUGAAAACCUAUUAACAAACUGUUUUAACUUGUAGAGUGCUUGUUCAAACCGAUUUUCAAUUCUUAUUAUAUACUGUUAUGUUAUAUAUUUCACAAUUGAUUGUUCACACUUAUAAUGAUAUAGAUCACAAAACAUUUGUAAUGUAUAUAAUAAAACACCUAGGCUCAAGUGUAAAAGAUAGACACCAUUAGAAAACAUAAAACAUUUGUAAUGUCCUUAAUAAAACACCUAGGCUCGAGUGUAAAGGACAGGCACCAUUAGAACUUAGUUAGUCAUAGAUACUACUUCCCUAGACAAGAAGUAAAGAGUAAUCUUAAAGAUUAGAGACACGACCUCUGUAACACUUCCUUGGCACGAGAGAGUGGAGGAGUAACCCUGUAACCAGAAUCUCCAGGAGGGUGAACGUGACUUGAGUGUAUAGAUCUAUACGGGACUGACAAUCCCGCACUUGGCUGCUAGCUACAGCCGAACGAAAGGUUCAAGGGUGACGAAAUUCAUAGAAAGGAUACUCGCCCUGGCCCGAGCCAUAUCUAGUCUGAGUAUGGUUAAGGACUCGCAAUCAAGAUUAUUAACAUUUUACACUUAUUUAUUAGUUUUAUUUACGUAAUAAAACUAAUGUACAUUUAAGGAUAAUCAGACUUUCAGGAGACUUCACACACACACAUUUAGGAAAACAUGGGGUUUUCCUGGGGAUAACAUUGAACAUAAUCGGAACUGGUAACACUUCGCAUACACAGAAUCGGUAACAGUUCACACACACACAUGUAGGAAAAUAUAGGAUUUUCCUGAGUAACAGUAGUACAUAACCAGAAAAGUGUAACAAGUUAUGUAACUAAACUUAACGAUUCGCAAGAACAAUUAUGGUUUUCAAUCUAUAUUUCCAUGUAUAUCAAACUAUCUUGUAUCCUGUUCGGGAUGGUAGUCCCAUGGUAUUCAAUCUAUAUCUUCAUGUAUAUCAAACAAUCUUGUAUCUAGUUCGGGAUGGUAGUCCCAUGGUAUUCAAUCUAUAUUUUCAUGUAUACCAAACUAUCUUGUAUCUACUUCGGGAUGGUAGUCCCAUGUUAUUCAAUCUAUAUUUUAACGUAUAUCAAACUAUCUUGUAUCUAUUACGGGAUGAUAGUCCCAUGGUUUUCAAAAUACUUUCCAUCUACAAUUCAUGUAUAUCAAAGUAUUUUAUAUCUUAUUCGGGAUAGUAAUCCCAUGAUUCUCAAUAUAAAGUUUUGUGUAUUAAACUGUACUCUGUGAUAUUCAAUCGGUCUUGUAUUUAAGGAAAUAUGGGAUUUUCUUGGACAACCACGUUUUCAGGAAACCAAAGGAACUCGUACAUUUUUCACAAAACAAAACCGCUUAUGAACUCACCAGCUUUAUGCUAAUUUUCAAACCGCUUGUAUUCCCAGGUUCGCUUUAGACAGGUACCCGACGAUCUCUUUUGGCGAAGACGAAGUGCAUAGAAGAAUCGUCUCAUUUUGUUCAUAUAUACUAUGUAUCACAUGUAUAACUUACUUUUGAAACAAAUGUAAACUUUUAUAUAUGUAAUGUAAUGGUUGUCUACUUUGCUUACUAUGUGCAUUGGAUUUGAUACUCAACGUGGAGUCCGCCCCGGAAAUGUUUCCGCCUUCGGUUUUCAGGGUGUGAGAGUUAGGAAUUUGGAAUUUUUACAUUUUUUCAUAAGGCUUGGGAGUAUGAAUAGAGAAUCAUUGAAAGUACGUUCAAUCGAUCUAUUUCACAAACUAAGGAUCAUUGACAAAAAUAGAGUGCAUACUUGAUGUAUUGCAAAGCUAUUGUUUAGAAAACAUAGCAUACAUGCUUGGAACAUGGGACAACUAGUGUUUUUUAAAUUCAAGUAUAAAGUUGAUAAAAUCGAAACAAUGAAUAAUGAGUAAUCAAUAUGGUGAUAAAUAAAAAGUGUUUUAUUUAUAUUCAUAGUUUUGAUACCAUAUUAGAUUCAUUUAUUCUUGUGUUUCAUUUUGCAUGUUUUGUGACAACCCGAAACUUCUAAUCCAUGUAAUUGAUCUGUGCUUCAGCACUAAAACUUCAGUUCAUUGUCUUUUAUUAAAUCUUGUGAUUCCAUAUGGGUGCUUUAGACUUAAUAUAAUUUAGAUAUGAGUCUUAGGAAGGGUUGGAGAGUGUUUAGUAUCACAAAAUCGGGCCAAAACUCACCAAAUAAGGUUUGUGCGGCCACACACCUGUAUGUACGGCCACAUACCCAACCGCAAACACCCUCAACCUCACACCCACUUCAAUUUAUGGAUGGAUACCCCCUUCAUCAUUCAUUUNCUUCAUUCAUUCAUUUAGGUGUUCUCUUCCCUCUCUCUACUUUCUCUCUCUAAAUCAUCAACCAAGAACACUUAGAAGGCUUCAUAAUCGUGAUCUAUUUCAUCUUCAAGCUAAGUAUAGUGGUAAGCACUUGAAUCCCAAGCUUAAAACUCAUUUUCAUCACAUUCAUCUUCCCAUGAAGUUGUACGGCCGCACACCUUCAUUUGGGGGCAGCACACAUUCAAAACUCCCAAAUAUGAAGAGCUUACACUUCAAAAAUCAACAUAUGGACUCAAAUAAGGAGUGUACGGCCGCACACUCCUUUGUACGGCCGCACACACCCUCUGUACAACCGCACACUCUUGUGUGCUACCUCACACACACUCUUGGCCGCACUCCCUAGCCGCACACUCAUUUUCAAGACCAUACACCCACUCUAAUACCCAUAUUUGGCCCUAAACUUGCAUAAAUCAUUAAGUUUGGAUCAUAGGACACUUAUUCUUAGUAAUUCCAAGCCCUAAGGAUGUUUUCCCAUCAUGUUUAGUCAUGAAACACCUUAGUUCUAACUCAUUUAUGUGUCGUCACAUGAAAAAUAGGGGCCAUCGGAGUUCAAGGCAUCCGGUGACACUCGAACUCUACAUUAAGCGGUGAGUUCAUACCCAUACCCUUUUUCAUUGUUUUUCACCAUUUUCAGGGGGGAACACAAGCAAAGUACAAGGGAUUACUUGUACUUAAAACUUGUUUACAUGUGUGUGUUUCACAUUUUAUAUGCUUUUAACACUGAUCGUUACAACCGAUAACCGUUUGAACAUGCAGAUCACGUAAACAUAUAAAACUUGUACACUGUUUUGUCCUCGGUAACACUCCACGGAGAUACGCGAGUGGAGGAUUAUCAUAUUCUUACUAGUAAAGUUGUUAGUCCUAUAUGAUUGGAGACAUGUCCUCGGUGAACACUCCACAGAGAUACGCGAGUGGAGGACUACACCCGUAACCAAAAUCUCUUGGAUACGGAGCGUGACUUCAGUGUAUAGAUCUAUACGGGGCUGACUAGCCCACACCUGGCUGCUAGCUACAGCCAAACCGAAAAGGUUCAUGGGUGACGAAAGUCAUAAGGUAAUGUGGACUACUUAUUGCCACAUCUAGUCUAUUCUAUGGUUAUGGAACUCGCAAUUAAGAUAACAGAGAUUUACUUAAUAGUAAUAAUGAAUAACUUAACACAUUUCACAAGAUAACCAGGUUUCAGUAUACAUCUUUCACAUUGAUAACCAACAUUCAGGAAAGCAUGGGGUUUUCCUGGGGAACGUUUACAUAACUAGAAAAGCGUAACAAAACGGAUAACUUUACAUCUUUUACAAUUGAUAAAACACAAUCAGGAAAGUAUGGCACUUUCCUGGAGGUACAUUGGUACGUAACCAGAACAGUAUAACAAACCAUAUAACAUAACUGUAUAUUUUUACAAGAGUAAACGUGUUUUCAGUGUACGACUUUACUUUACAUAUUGAGAACAAAAACCAACCUUUUUAAGAAAUAUAUGGGAUUUUCUUGGUGUGUGUAAGAUUUUCAGAAACAGAAAGGAAACUCGAACAUUUUCACAAAACAAAAACCGCUUAUGAACUCACCAGCGUUAUGCUGAUUUUCAAACCGCUUGUGUUCUCAGGUCAGCGCUAGACAGGUAACCGAUGAUUUCUUUUCACAAAGGCGGAGUGCGCAGAAGACUUGUCUCGUUUUGUUUAUAUAUACUAUGUAUCACAACUGUACCACUUAGUUUUGAAACAAAUGUAAACUUUCCUAUAUGUAAUGUAAUGGUUGUUUUACUUUACUUACUAUGUGCAUUGGAUUUGAUACUCAACGUGGAGUCAACCCCGGAAAUGUUUCCACCUUCGGUUUUUGGGGUGUGACAGAUUGGUAUCAGAGCCCUUGUUUAUAGUGAAUAAAGUAUACCAAACCUUACAUGGUAUAAAACUAUAAACACAAGAAGGGCCUAAGUGCUCUAAAUUAAAAGAUUCUUCAAACUAUAAGUAUUUUCAAAAGUAUACAAGUAUACCGAACCGUCGAGAUCCGUAACUACAAGUAGAACAAAACAUAAGUAAAUGUGUGUUGUGUACUACGGUUAAACCUGAGCAGUUAUGUAGUCGUGUCUAGGAUCAAUAUAGCCUGGCCAACUAUAUUCAUUCGAGACAUGGCCAACAUGUGCUUGGGAGUGGUUGUGGUAUGUGGCAUGCCUAAAACUUACCCUAAUACCACAAACAUUGAGCCAGUGUCGAAGCUAAUCAUGAAAUACUAUGGGAGUAUUUCUCGAUCCAAUCCUUUGUAGAAAUCCUCGUUCACGUAUAGAUCCUUGAUCAUUCCGUUAGCGAUAGUUUACAUGCUUUGAUAACUCUUUCCUGCUUUACCGCUUAUUCGGAAUAUAUGUGUCAUAUCUCCCGAUUCGAUUCAGAGGACUUAUCAUCCUCUCUUUCUUGAUCUUAUUAAAUCAAGAUGCCUAUCAGAAAUAGAACCAGCUCCAAGACCAACAACCCUCCGCCACCACCUCCUCCUGAAAUUGACCCUGUGGUAUUUCAGGCAGCUGUUACCGCCGCGGUGGCAGCUGCUUUGUCCCAAUUAAACACCCGUGGUUCCGGUGGUUCAGGAGGUGGUACUCAAACUCAGGAUCAAGAAAGGAAUCAGGGACACCGAAAGGAGGGUUCCUAUAAGGACUUCAUGAAUGCGAAACCAACAUCCUUCUAUGGCAUUGGAGGUGUCAUGUCCUUAUCCUGAUGGUUCGAGAAAAUCGAAUCCAUUUUUGAAAUCUAUGCCUGUGCGGAAUCUGAUAAGGUCAAAUUCGCAGCCUGUACCUUUCUCGACAAAGCCUUGACUUGGUGGAAUGGCCGAGUCAAAUCCCUGACCCUACCCGUAGCCAAUGCCAUGGGCUGGGAAGCCAUGAAAGAGCUCUUGAUAGCCGAAUACUCCACCCGUGGUGAAAUCCAGAAACUAGAGCACGAGCUCUGGAACCUAAAGAUGAAAGGUUCCGAUAUUGCUGCAUGCACUUCCCGAUUCAAUGAUCUCGCACUUUUAUGCCCGGGACUAGUCACUCCUGAAAGUACAAAGAUCGAGAGGUUCAUUUGGGGGUUAACUCAACCAACAAAGGGUCAUGUGUUAACUGCUCGUCCGGAUACCUAUGAUAGUGCCAAGACUUUAGCUCAAACCCUAAUUGAUCACAGUGAUGAUGUCGAGGAAACCACUACCACUGCUGAGCCGACCAAGAGGAGUGGUGAGAAAAGAAAAUUCUGGAAGAAGAAGAAGAGUCAAUCUUCUCAAACAGUAGCAGUCCAUGCUGCUACUACUGUUGGGUUUUGAGCAUUCUAACACUCCUAAGUGUACAUGCAACCCUAAAUACCUUGGAUCUAUGUUUUCUCUAUUAUACAUGCAAAUAAGAACUUCCAAGGUAUAAUCCUAAUCUAGCAUACAAAACAAUGAGUGUAACAAGAUAGAAUACAUACCUCUUUGAUGUAGAAAGUCUUCAUGAAGCUUGAGUGCCUAGUCCCAAUAGUGUAGAAGCCUCAAAUGGAAUCACAAUCACCAAAGCACUUAGAAUAACUUGAGAGAAUUCUACAACUCAUAAAUCGGCUAGCCCUUUCUUACACUCACUCUAGUCGCCGAUUUGGUCAAGAAUAAGAUGCUUAUAUAGUUAGGGUUACAACAUGUAAACCCUAAUUAACAGGCCUUUCAUUUCCAUGAUCCAUGGGUACAAAUACACCAUGGAGCAUCCAUGGACUAUCCUAUGGGUUUUAGCCCAACUUGAUUAUCCAUGGAGCAUUAGCCCACUAUACAAGUAUGGAUGAUUUACACAAUCAACCCAUAUAUUUAAUUAGUCUUCUUUUGAUCACUUAAUUAAUCCUAGAUUAAUUCUUGAUCAAUACUAAUUAAAUAAUCUUAUUAUUCUUAUUAUUAAUAUACUAGAACUUAUAAUAUAUUAAUAACCAUAAGUGUCUUAUUUCUCUCAUUAUAGUCUAUCCAAGUGCAUGAUGGUAUGCAACCCAAAUGGACCAUGCCGGGUCGGGUCAAGUCUUACCAAUUAUAGUUAUGGACUUAGACAUUAAUCCAACAGUCUCCCACUUGGAUAAGUCUAAAACUAUUAUUGCGUAUGACUUCAGGAACCAACUGGCAAUCGUAGCUCUCAAAAGCUUCUGUCGAACUCUGACCUUGUAGAUGAACUCUGACCUUUGUCAAUGACUUGUCCAUUAGAUAAGGGAUCAUAUAUUCCUCCAUUCUAGAUAUCAUAUGGACUGAGACAUGGAUUAUAAUCAUUCUCUCUGUCCAUUUGUUGUUUCCCGAUUUCCGAUUUAUGACGACUGACUAAUUGAACAAAUCAAAUCAGUCCUGGCCCGGCCGAGCACUUCCAUUUGUCAUCAUCAAAUCAUCGAGGGGCCCACAGAUAUCGCUUUUAUCCCGAAGGUAAAAGGAAUGGAUAAACUUCGACUCAUAUGGCUUGUUCUACUACUUGUUGAAUCAUACACAAAGGCACGUUUUAUAGCACCGAGUUACCAAAUGCGUUUUCGUGCAAUCAAUGUACUAUCAACUCAUAGUAACAACUCAUAUCUCUAGGUUUGAAGAAUAUAAGAUAUUAUCGUCUCAUGAUCACUCGUGAUAAAAUCCAUGAAGUGAUUCCAAUGAGCGCGGGUUGA